rnacentral:lncRNA from 1 species
GGGGGCCAACAAUAACCUGAGACUACGGUGGCGGUAGCUCCUAUUCCUUCAUCUUCGACGGCAAUGUCACCCCUGCUUCUCUACCUCCCCUGACCACACAAGACAAAAUAGUUGCCAUGGAGAGGACAAGAAGCACCCAAAGUCUUGUAGUUGUCCGCUAUAUACCACAAAAUAGUUUUUUCAAGUCCUAGGAGAUUAAUCCACACCCUCAGCAGCCUUGCAUCAUAGAAUCCUAGUUGCGACGCUAUCUUCAUACCAAGUCUUGAACAUCAUUCACUUCUUCGAGGUGUCAAUCCACUUUUGGUGUCUUAAUCCUUGUCAAAGUUCUGUCAACUACAAUAUACCAUGAAAAAAGUUUAGUCUGGAAUCUAAACUAGACUACCAGAUUGAGAUAUUAGUACAGCUGAAUACCUGAUAUAUAAACAGAAAGCUGCACUCCUGUAAGAGGCAUGUAAUGCUAGCAGAAUGAAACAUGAACUUUACAUAAAGGACAACAUUCCACGCAUGCACAAGAACAUGCAAAAUGGUUUAUACAACCCUCCUAGACUAACGCAAAGACUGUCAUCAUGGCAAACAGCAAACAAUGGAGACUUUUCAGAGCAAUUGCAAUUGAAUAUGGAACAUGGCAAACAAUGCAAUAGCAUUGACAAAAAAUAACAGAUUAAAUGCUGAAUGAUACCCACUUUUAUGUAGCUACUUGUACACACAUCAACGGAUGAGUAUUGACCACUAAGGGAACAUGAAAAUAAGUAGAGACAUCGUGUGUGUUGUGUCAGGCUUUAUCUUGAACUAAAACCACGACGAGUAAAUCAGAACGGAGGGAGUAUUUAGCUAAAUCAUAUUUCAACAAUCUGUUGCCAUCUGAAGCCUGACAUUACCAAACUUGAAGCGUCUGCCAACAACCCCAAGGUUAUUUACAGUAUUUGUAGUGCUUCUGUUGUUGCCAUUUGAGUUUUCCCCUAACCAGCGACCAAGUCGGUGUUCUUGUCAAAAACCAAACAUUACGGGUAUUUAGCCUAAUAGGAAAAGAACAUAUUGAUGCAUGACCAUCAAUUUUCAUAUAUAGAAUCACAUGGCCAUUUUCUAUGUGUAUAUGACUAUCUGAUGGGCGUUGCAGUCCCCGCUUAAACUAUGGGGCAGUUGAUCCCAAAAGUUACUAUUCCAUAGAAAAACCUAGAGAGCAAUGCAAACUUCAAUGAAAAUAAAGCACUUCGCCACACAGUUAUGCAUCCCUAGCCCCUGACACCACCACUGGUCCAAAGAAAGGGACGGUGAUAGACAAAUACCUUCUUACCGCUUGGCAACCACUUCGUCCUAAAAGGAUAAAACAUCUAAAACUGUUCUAAAUUCAUCUCCUGAACAAAACGACUAAAAGUCACAAAGCAACUAAUGACACAUGGUGCUAAUUUUAAAAAGCACUGGACCAAGGGGGAGUUCAUGGUUUCCACAAUCACAUCCAUACAAAUGUUUCAGCGUAGCUUGGAAUGGGGAGGAGUUUGGGAGUAGAGCCCUCACCUGAUAUUGUGCUCGUGGCGGAUUCUUUCGAAACUGUUGACAAAAUCCCCCUCCUUGAUAGCAUUGGAACCAUGGUCGGCCAGUUGUUGCGCCUGAUUUACUAUUUUCUGCUCCUCUACACCCUCCUCACCACCUGCCCCCUCGCCAGGCUUCGACAGCAACAGAUUUUGGUGGUCGCCUCGGGGCACAGGAGUGUAGAAAGUGACAACAGGAACCACAUUACGGAAGCUAGAAUCAUCGCGCAGCUUCCUCACCUGCUCAGAUUGCAGCUCAAUUGUGAAGAGGCCGGCCAUCGUACAAACAAAAAUGGCAUUUUCUCCCUCAGCAAAGCCCACCACUAGCACUCUAUAACCUUCAUCCAAGCGAGCACUAGUUGGGAGCAAAUUGCACGGGGAGAUGACCCGGCUGAGCACCCAUCGUGCAUCAGUGCCAUCACUCGCAUCUCUUGUCCACAAUUUGAGAUGCGGAUGCACGUGUUGGAUUACUCCCAGCCCACCGUCGUCUGCGAGCACGAGAUUAUACAGGCCAAAGUGGUUGUCUGCUGCGCUGAACACAGUCAGGGAGUGCCUGGAGAAGUCGUACUCCAGGAUCGACCCACUCUCCUCGUGGUCGUAGAAGACGAAGUAGAGCUGAGAGGUGGCGACGAGAACGCCGGAAUGUUGUAUGUAUACCAUUAAGUCGCCGUGUGUCGAGGCCGGCUCGCCCCAGGCACCGGUCUCCGACAAGUACACGCACGCCGACGUGCCAUACCUGCCGGGGAAGACAAAAGGCACGCGGAAAGGGCCCCCGAGGCAGUCGCGGUGGUCGCACCCAUCCGCCGCGCAGAGCACGGCCGCAGCCAAGUAGCCGCGCUCCAACGCCGCGGGCACAGGCACGAGGUGCUGGGCGCCCAUGAUUGGCUCCCACACCAGGAGUUCCUUGGCGUCCUCGCACUUGUGGAAGAAGAGGGCGCGGCCGUGGCGGCAGUCACGGGCCAGCCAGGACCGGCCGUCCGGGAUGGCGAGGGAGAAGGGCGAGGCCGUGGUGGGGAUGAAGCAGGGGGCGCGGUCGCUGGCCUGGUCGUGGAGGAGGCCGAGCACAGGGGGUUCCCCGUGGAGCUCGUGGAGGCGGCGGCGGAAGCCGGGGCCGGAGAUGGCGCCGCUCCAGGCCUUGGAGACGAGGAAGGAACGGAGGAGGCCGGCAGGGUCGUUGGGCGGGAGGUGGAGGAGGUCUCCUCGACGAGCUCGUCCGGGAGCGCCGGCGGCGGCGGCGCCAUGGCGGUCGCUAGGUCUUUGGUUGGGUCCGUGCGGUGGGGGAGACAGUGGAGGGGAAUGGUUCGGCUCAACCAGUUCAGUCCGAGGAGAUUGGGCUCGACUCUGCCGUACACACAAACCGCCUACCUGAAGUUUCCUUUUUUUUCCUUUGGGCACUCAGGGCGCUAAAAAAGAGCGGUUUGGGGGCAAAUCGACGCAAGUUCGGUCCUGAGGGUGACCUAGCUCCCAGUCACGCCCCCACGCGCCGCCACCAGGACGCGGAAAAUUCGAACUUGGCCGUUCCCGCUCACAAAAGACGCCACAAAUCCGGCGAUCGCAAGUCAUAGUUUGGCGUACAAAAAAUAGAGCGGUAGAAGUUCGCGUGUGCAAUGCAUCACUCGGCGGGCUUUGCCCCAGGCGUCGGCAGAGUUGGCGUGCGCGGGCUUGGCGGUGUCGGAGCUGCUUCUGCGCUGGGCUGUGUCGGCGCGGCUUUGGUGGUGCUGGGCGUCGUGGAGGCGUCAUCACGCGGGCUUGGCGGUGGUGGCGGCGGCGGCGUGGGCGUCGGCGUCGGCGGCGCUGUCGAGGGAAGCUGGUUCAGGAUGAGGCCGCGCUCCGCCAAGUACCACGCCUUGACCACCUCGUCGGUGCUCUGGAGCAUGUUCGCCCCGCCAAGCAGGAAAGCCAGAUCGGUGUUUCUCUUCUUCGCGGCGACGUUGGUCCGGAGCAGGUCGAGCUUGACGGCGCUGCUCGACAUCAACACCGACCACCGUGCAUCGGUCUUCUCUUCACGAAGGACGGCUCGGGCCUGCGCGUCGGCGAGACAGUGCUCGAUGGACUCCUGCACUCGAGUGGUAGCCGCGUCGGCGUAUUUCACCUUCUUGGCACCUUUGUUGACGUCCGGCCGCUCUUCCGAUGCGCUAGGGGUCGGCGCGUCCGGCUUGUAGGUCUCCUUGGCCUUGUCGAGGGUGCGCCGGACUUCCACCCACUUCUCGCACUUGUCAAUGCGCUUGUAGAUGUGGGGGUACUUGAAUUCGGCGUCGUUGUUGCUCUGCCGGUACAGGGCGAACAUGCGCAGCAACUGCGCGGAGGAACAAACAGUUGGCCGGCGUACACGGCGAAGAGAGGCGGGUGACCGGCGUGGCAUACCUGAUCCUCAAUGCUGGGCCGCUCUCCGGGCGAGCCACGACCUCCUCGACGCCCCCAUGCCAUUUUUUGCACACCCCCUGGAUACGCCCCCAAUGGUUCGCCAUCGCCUUGGAGCCGUGUUGCAUGUAGACGCCUUUGAAGUAGGGGUCGACGAGCUUGCGCUCAUCGAACUCGACCUUGAUGCGGUCCCAGUACGUCUCGAUGCUCUGGUUCGUCCCGGUGGUCGGGUCGAGGCAGACGACUUUCCAUGCUUCGGCGAGGCAUUCCUCCUCCUUGGACGCCCACUUCAUGCAUGGCUUGCCUGACCUGGCCGCCCGCUUCUUCUUAUUCUUGCGCCCCUUCGCCGGAACCGGCGCCGGCUCCUCCUCCUACUCCUCCUUGUCGUCCUCCUCCUCCUGCUCCUGCUCCUCCUGCUCGUCCUCGCUGUAGACGUAGCCGAGCUCGCCGUCCAUGCCGCCGCUGAGAUCCAUCGUCUCGUCCUGGGUGACAAACCCGGGAGAUGCGGCGGCCGCGGCCGAACCUGCCGCGAUGAUGUCGUCCAUGUCGGCCUCGGUCUCGUCAGUGUCGCCGAGGUGCGAGAAGGGCAGCGGGCCACGGCGGACUGGGGGCGUCGGGGAGGAAGCGUAGGCGGGCGGUGAGUAGUUGUAUGGAGGGUACUUCACGCCGGCGAAGGCGGGAGAGGGCGUGCACUGGGCCGGGUAUCCAUGGGGGAAGGUGACGUUUGGGUUGAACCCACCGUGCGCGUCCCCGUCGGCGUAGCCCGGCGAGGGAGAUCCCCAUGGCUGCGGUGAGCCGACGCCUUGCUGGCCCCAGGGCGCGUACUAGACAUGGCUUCCGGGUGGAUUCAUCAUCCCCGCGCGAGUCGCCUCGGCCUCGGCUUGGUCCGCUGAUGAGGCAGCCGCAGCCGCGCACUCCACGUUGUCACGAGCCUUCUUGGCGAUGGCCCUGUUCUGCCGGUCGGCGGUGACAGCCUCCCGUCGCUGAACUUCCGCCCUCCACUCGACGUUUGACAUGCCCAGUGGCUUGGUCGGCGGCGCCCUCGGCUUCCUCUGCUUCGACAGGGCGACGGAGGCGGUCGCGCUUGCCGCCGCGCGGGGGUCGAUGUACUUCUUCGGUGGCAUGGCGGCCGGCUGGGAGGCGAGCGGGAGGGAGAUUGGCGGGAGGUAGGAAGAGUAUGGGAGGGAAGUGGGGAAAAAGCGGGAAGAAACAGCGGGAAGAGGCGCUCAACUCGCCGACAAGGCGGCCCCACAUGCCCUUUCCUCUUGUGCCGAUGCCCCAGGCGCCCCCCAGGGCGCCGGGUUCGACCUGGGACCGUCGGCACCAUUUUCCCCCGAGCUGGCGAAAAACGGGCUUCUGGGGACGCGCCUAGGCCGUUUUUUCGGCGCCGGUGUGGCAAAAACGCCUGGGAAGGGGCUAUUGGGGGCGCGGCUGGAGAUGCUCUAAUAGGCGCCGGUGCGCCGGCCCAAAUUUGGGCCGGUCACACCCCAGGCGCAUGAUUAGCGCAUCGUCAACCGCCUGAUUUGCCAGCUGGCCCAUGUCCCUCGUUGACUUCAUCUUCCACCAUUGCGAGAUCCUUAAAAUCCCCCCUUCCUUGCGAGUAGUUCCUGCACCACCCCUCGUCCCCGCCGGCUGCAGACCUCGCAACAGGUCGCGCCUCACCCCCCCCUUUAGAUCGCAGUUGGCCGCCUCCGCCUCGCCGGCGGUUGUCGCUCCUCGUUUCAGAAACAACGCAAAAGACAGCCGAUGCAUCUCAUGUUUCAGCACCUAGCCCCGCCGUCUUCGUAGCGCGCCCGUCGCAGCACCACCGUGCUGCCGGCCGCACCUCACGCCGUCGUCUCCUCAUACCAUUGGUGUUCCCCUCGUUGAAGCUUUUUCCACAUGUGGAAGAUUUUUCGUCAUUGCCGCUUGAAGUUUUUCCUCCCGUUAGUUGAAGCUUUUCCAUCGCUGCUUGAAGCUUUUUUUACCAUUGAAGCUUUUUUCUCGUGGUGGAAAGAUUUUUCCUCAUGACACUUGAAGCUUUUUGUCUAGCUGGAUGAAGCUUUUACACAGCCGGUUCAAGCUUUUUCCAAAACGGUUGAAGCAUUUUCUCUCCAGUGGAAGCUUUUUCCCCAUGCCGCCUUGAAGCUUUUUCCACAGCCGACACUUACUAGUACCAGCAAAAUAAAAUGCCGCUUUCUAGCUCACCUAUGCACUGGUUGUAGCAUUUUUUUCUCUGGUUCCAGUAUUCCCCACACUGGAUGCAGCAUUUGCGACCACCGUGUCCCAGCCAUAGCGCAACCAGUGGCGGCGGCCGGCAGGUAGCAGUUAGGCAGUCCCCCUGGCUCGCGAAGCACACGGCCGGCAGCAGCACUGGUAGGCAGCAACGCGGGGAAAGGAAGAAGAAAUACAGCCAAGGGAAAUGAUGUGUCUGGAGGUAGGGGAUGAAGGCAGGAGUUAGGGAAAAGAUAAGGGAGGAGGGGUGGUCCACGUGGGGGCCCAACAAAAACAGGAGUCUCGCGUGGGGUGCGGCUUGGGCGGGCACGGGGCGCCAGCGUGGCUCGCGACUGGCCGAAGGUUCGCCGGUGCCCCGGUGUGAAACGUUUCCCUUUUCCUUUUUCUGGUCAGACGAGAUUAUAUAUUUGAUAUUCUGAACUUCUCCAUGAUUACCUAUUUUUUGGGUGUUUCUGUUUGCCAUGGAAAUUGUGAAACUCUUUAAAUUGCUCAAUCGAUAUCUCGCUCCGUCCAUCGGCGGCCGUGUUGUAAAGCAUCAUCAGUGGUGGUGGUGUAGCUGCAAGGUAGCAUCAUGGAGGCACCGACGACAGGGACGGUGGCCAUCAUCGCUCUCUGGCUUUUUGAAGCAUCGAAGCAAAUGUGUGGCGAGGGGUGAGCAGGCAGUGGACGGUGUCAUGCCUCGGCGGAGUUGCACUUGUUGGAUCGCACCAUCCACUGUUGUAAGACUGCCGUCAUCGGUAUCACGGUUAAGGCGUCGGUGCUGUAGUCGUGCAGUUCGCAACAUCCUCGUUGCUGCAGAAGGUUGCAUUCGUCGCUAGGCUUGUUGGGUGUAGAUCCAAAGAGAAGUAAGACGCACUCCACACUUUGAUCGUAUGGCUGAUCAGGUGGCUGGUCUUUCUCUGAGAUUAGCCGGCUGACGCCUAGCAGCCUUCAUGAAAGUUAUGCAAUAAGAGCCAAUUCUAGUGAUGCCUCAAUUUAUAACUUUUACUCAAACAACACAACCACGUACCAAUAUGUAAAUUGAGAGGUCAUUGUUGAUGUCAAGUUAUAUAUCCUGACCAUGUUUACAAAAUUUGACUGUAUUCACAUAUUGUUGAUGUCAAGUUAUAUAUUGCAAACAUGUAAGCUCUUCUGAUUUCACCUUGUUUAUUAGGGCAGCUCCAAUGGCGACCUACAAAAAAUUUCCCACAUCCGUCCACGCUCAGGGGGGGACUAGUCCGGGGACACGGAUGCGGGAGGUUGCUAUCCAACCGCAACCGCAUACAUUUCAAACUCUUUUUCAACAAACCUGAUGAAAUUCAUGCAAACACGACCGGAUUUCAUAUAAAUAUGACGGAUUUCAUACAAACCGGACGAAAAUGUUUACACUUUGGACAUAUUUUAACUAAAAUGGUAAAACUAUGUGCACGUACGGUCGCGUGAGCUUCCACUCCCACGACAAAGAUACACUACACUAGUCUACGGCCGGCUGCGGCGGAUCCCUUUGUCUUCCCCUUGUCCGGCAGCCCACUCACCGGACCGUCGGGAGCCCCGAAGGUAUAUGCUUCAGCGCAAAUGGCGGCUGGCUUCCCCACCGUUUAUCGCAGUGGAACUGCCGACUGAUGCUUCAACCGGAGGGGAAGGGGUGCCUCCGCUUCCGUGAAGCCCAGACAAGGGUUGAUGGUGGUCUGCACUGAAGAAGAAUCAGACAAGACACCGGAUGUGUACGCUGGCAUCGCCUCGGCAGUGGCCUUCCUGGGACCCAAGCGGCAACAGCCUCCCGUAUUCUACUUUCCCUUGAUGUUGCCGGCGGACGCGGACGCGCUGGUCACCGACUCGUCAAUCUCUAUGCAACUGGCUUCUUUCUGUGCCGGUUGGGCGCGGUUACGCACCUGUUGAUGGUGGAUGGCGCGAUCGCAAGCACGGGAGGGGUGGUACGACACGGUGUCGUCCACGGCAGCGACGAUGCCCGUGCCGUUGUGCUCCCCGUCGUGUCGGCCUGGAGCAACUCGCCCCUCCUCUACUAGCUGGCUUAGAGCGGCGAGUUGUUUAACCACGCGCCGGCUUGGGCGGCAACUUGCUCCGUCGAGCUAGGCAAGGAAGGUGGAGCAGCGAGCUGCCUCACCCGUAUCUAGCGGGCUCGGUGGGCCACCCAACCGGCUUUUAUGCCGGAGAACUGUUCUUCCUUCUCAUCGGAUGCGGCGGACUUGGUGGUGCGAUUCUUGCCCGGCUUCUGGCCUCGUUUAAAUAGAGGGCAAAUGAGAGGAGAUUGUCCGGUGUUGCAUUUAAUGUCGGCCCGGUUGUGAACGAAUGUGUGGCCGGAGUAAUUUUCUCGGCUUCCACGCGGGUUUAAUGGAGGCGUUUAAUGCGGCGAUGAGGCGUGUUCAGUCGGGUGUGUAGCAAGCGGUGCCCUCGGCCGGUGCACCACUUCAAUGGCGGAGGCAGUGAUAGGUCAUGUCCGCUUUGAGACGUCUUCAAUGUGGAGCAUGGCACUCUACAGUGGCAUGAAUGCUGGCAGUUGACGCCAGGCAGGAACGCGCGCGGGCGAGGAAGGAGGGGUUUGAGUGGACCAAGGCGGUCAGAAAAGGGCUUGGGAGCGGUUCAGACUCUCGCAAAGCCUCCACGUUUGUUUCCGAUUUGCGGGAGAAAGUACAUCCUGACCGUGCCGCGCACCAAUACAUGACCACUUUGACGAUAGCUUCUGUGAUCUGGACGCAUGUGUGAGGUGUUUGCGGGUCUGCCUUAGCACGACAGACCCAAAUUUGACUGUGUAAUGAUGGAUUAAAAUCCUUGAUUACAGAACCAACUAUGCAUCUACAGGUUGAGCUGCAUUUUUUGGAUAGGCUGUAGGAAUUGAAUUUGCCAAGACCAAUUCUAGCACAUCUUUGAGAUUGGACACCGGAAUCACCGGACCAACAAUUUGUUCCCUUUUCUUGAGAAAAGACAGCAUUGUCUUUCUCUUAACUAGUACUAGUUGCACAAUCCACUUUAAAAAAUCGUUAUGAUUUGAUAUGUACACAAGCAAUGAGCAUGUGUUCUUUAUGCUGCUCUAAUUUGCUUCUCUCUGUGCUCUGGUAUGUACAUUGCCCCUACCCAUGUUAUACAAAGCAAUGAGCAUGUCUCUCUCUGCUCUGGUAUAUACAUGAUUUGAUAACUACUUUUGUAGGGAUAUACCCCGCGGUAUGACCCGGCCGGAAGUAUGACCCGACCGGGCUUGGCGCUUCACUGAUGACCCGUCGGAGGACUGGCGACUCACGGGUCUGGCGGCUCACUGGUCAGAUGACUCACGGAUGACCCCGACGGCGGGUCACAUAGAAGACUAGACCCAAGGCCCAGUAGGCUGGCUCAUAUUAUGAUGGGCCGGCUUAAGACGGAAGGCAUGAGAAAUAUUUCAUUUAUGAAGAAGCAAGACCCGGACUUGUAAUCAACUAGUAAGAGAAUAAACUAGUCCUAGUCCUAUUAGGACUCCACAUGUAACCCGCCCUCUAACUUAUAUAAGGAGGGGCAGGGCUCCUCAAAGAGGGACAAGCAACAAGAAACAAUAUAUAAGGCUAGACACAAAGAGCCGGCCUACCGGCGACUCCCUCAUGAUCAUAAUGAGACCUAGCCACAAACAGCAUGUAGGAUUAUUACCGGAUGAUAUUUCACGGGGCCCAAAGCUGUCUAAACCAUUGUCUUGUGUCGCAUCUCUCGAUUUCGCUCAACCCCUCUCAAGCUACCACAUAGAUGUGUUGGCCUCGCGACUAAGUCCUGACCAAAGUUUAAGAUCGCGGGCUAACCCAUUUCGCGGCUGGCUCAUGCAAACGCUAAAGCCGCUAUAGCCGGAGAUAGCGGCCGCUAACCCAGUUCGCGGGAACAGUAACAUGUGCACGUAUAUCCCCCAUCCAAACCAGUACAUGUGCAUAUUUAUCUCAAAAAGCAGGGGAUUUUUCAGCAGAAAACAAAGGACUUUCUGAAGCAGAGGAAGCAGAGAGCAGAAGUUGAUGGUCAGAGCUGGUUCUUGUUCUUGAUCUUCAUUUUCUGCUUGUCCUUCAUCAACAUUUGGCACCACCUGGACCUGAACCUCCAACCUGAACCACUAUACCUGAAACUACAAGUUUGCAAUUCAAUCCCAAGAGCCUGACGUGCUGCUCGUGGUCGCGGAGUCGUGCAAUGACCCCUUGGCGCCGGCUGCCUUGCCGUGGUCGUUGCCUUACUACCUCGCUACCUUGCUGCCUUGCCGCCUUUCCCGUCACCGGAUCCAGUUUCUGGCGAAGCAGCAGCCGGCCUGCCGACCGCGGCUAGGAAGAACGGCGCAGCCGCCGCAACCUUUUCGGUGGGAGGGAGAGAGAAGGGAACGGAGAGACCAUGCUAGGUUCGUGGAGGAAGUGCUAUCUAUCCGCAGGGAUUUGGGUUGACCUCUAUUUGGGCCUCUCUUUCAGAAUUUUGGCCCAUCCCAGCGAAACUGAAGCGAACGCAAAGUCAAAUCGCGCCGUUUUGCGGGCGAUCGCUCGAUUAGCGGCAGUUUGCGUUUUUUAAGGCAUUGCGUCGCGGGGAGGUCUCCAGGCCGCGAUUGCGCCACGAUCGCUCACUUUUCGCCCGCGAUCUAAAACUUUGGUCCUGACACUAAGGACAUCUGCCAUGACAAUUCCACGAUAGUUGGCGCCCACCGUGAGGCUUGCGCACGGUGAUGUUGAGUUCUUGGAGGAAACCCUUCAGGGAUCGAGAAGCUCGCGAUCGGACAAAUGAAGAAAAGAGCCGGCGUGGAGCAAUCACUCAGGAUAACCCCGCGUAUAAGAGAUUAUAAGAUCAAAAAAGGAAAUUAGGGUUGCGUUUACGCACCCGCCGCCGCGGUUUGCAAUACAUCUAGACAGAGAAAAUCGAUCUCCGCUGCUGCGCUAAUCCAAAAAUUGCCGGGUCACCAAUGGCACAAACGCAGAUGCGUAAUCAUCCGAGCGUUUAUGCAUAUGGCCGUAUACACGUGCAUCAAGUCCCGAGGCAUAUCAGUAUAUGAUGUUUCUGCUACUUUCACAAGCAGGGAGUGAAGAUCAAAGGAAAAAUACUACUGCUUCAAGUAGUAGUUUACGUGAUCAAAUCUCAAAGUGAUCUCAUCUGAUCUACUGAUCCUAGUACAGUUCUGUUUCUGUAUCCCAUCUAUGGACGGAAGCCGGCGGCCGGUUGCAAUUUGAUCUACUAAAAAAAAUUAUACGCGAGUCAACCGACCACGACCUGGACAGCUGCCAUCGUUCCCAAUCACUGCUGGUGCAGCCCCAACUCCGAGCCGCCCACGGUUUCAGUAAUCUCGCUUCUGCUGCUGAGUCGCCGACUGCUUCACCUAGCCAGGAAAAUGUGGCCUCGCUUCCCGCUGUCGUUCUGCUACGAUCAACUGUCGCGCCCCGGGCUGCCGUUUCGUCGACUCACCACACCGGAUCGUGGGGUCGUCUCUUGAGCCGCCCUCGCGUGAACUCGUGCUCACGGCCUUGAGCCGCCGUCGUCCGUGCUAGGUCAACAUCGCCACUAUUCCGAGCCGCCUGCCUCACCUGUCUCUGUUUCGAGUCGCCGCCAAAGUCGCGUUGAGUCGCCCCCGCUGGUCCGGCCCCGAGCCGGCCUCGGCUUCACAUCCACCUUGUGCAUGGCCCUGCCGCCUUUGCUAUCGAGUCACCGCCGGUUUGCCGCGAGCUCCGCCAUCACCGCCGGUUCGCCACGAGCUCCGCCAUCGCAGCCACAACCCUCGUGGGUGUGUCCAGUCAUCGGUGAGCCUCGCUUCAACUCACCGUUCAACUAUGGACGACUACUGCUAUUUGAUACUUGCCUCUGAGCUGCCUUCUGUCGCGGCCUCCUUCGGAGCUCUUGUUAUGGCCCCCCGUUGCAAGCCGCCUUGCCAUAGUGGCCUUAAGCUGUCACUGACGCACCCCGGCCCUGAGCCAUCUCCGCCUGCUGCUUCAUUUUCCUGUAGUUAAUUUUUUUAUCAAGAAGAACUGGAAGUCUUUUCUGGUCAUUUUGUUUGACCCGCCAGGACGAAGAUAAUGGCUACUAUUGUUAUCGUUCAAGUGAUACAUGCCAAAAUUGGAGACAGUAUAAAGAGCUAUCAAUUCUGUGUAUAUUGAGGAGCAUUCAGAAUUUCAUGGCGUCAGAUAAGUGGAGCUGAUGAGAAGCAGUGGAUUUCUCACAGUACAGGCUUCCAUGUUAAGCGGGCAAAUUGAUAUUUGCUUAGUACCUGAGCAUGGCUCAUCGGUCAUCCAAACAAAUCAGGUCAUAUUCAUCUAAGUUUAUUUUAUUAACCUAAAUUCUAAAAAGUGUAUAUGCACUAAUUAAAGGAAACAAGCGGCCGGUCUUACACACGCAUGCAUGUAGUUUUGUGGUCUAAAUUUUGUAUUUAUUCGUGACGUGGCAUGUACUACUAGGAUGGUCACAUGUGCAAAGACACCACAUUAUUCCAUGGAUGCGCAUGUCCAUUUAUUCGGAUUUUUAAAUUUUUAAAAAGCCAUAUCUUUUAAACUGUCCUUCGGAAUUUAGAUCCGUUUUCAUUAUUGGAAUCCUCGCGACGAGAUCUUUGAAACUAGAUCCCGCAUGGGAAUGUUUUGAUGAAUUUUUUUCAUGCCAACUUUGAUGCUAUAUUGUGCAACUCUAUUACUGUAUUGUGCAACUUUAUUACUACAUCGUGCAACUUUUUCCAAAACUAAUGUUUGGAGUUGCACCUUCGUAUGAGGUUGCAACCUAGCAACCACAACAACUUUGAUGUGCAACUAGUCUAUUGCCUCGACGAAAGUCGAUGUGCAACCUCCUCUUGUAAUGUAGUCUAGUUACAUACAUUGAUGUUUAGUUGGUUUAUAAUGUAGUCUAGUUGCACACAUAUUGAUGUUUAGUUGGCUUGUAAUAUAGUCUAGUUGCACACACAUUGAUGUUUAGUUGGCAGGAACACUAGUUACACACACAUAUGCUCAGUUGGCUCGUAAUUUAGUCCAGUUGCACACACAUUGAUGUUUAGUUGGCAGGACACUAGUUGCACACACAUAUGCUCAGUUGGCACGGCAAUGUAGUCUAGUUGCACACACAUUGAUGUUUAGUUGGCAGGAUUUUUUUGGCACACACACAUAUGCUCAGUUGGCGCGCAAUCUCUACUCCUAAUGGACGAAUUGGUUGAAUAGUCCCCCCCACUUUCAACCGAUUUAUUUUCAACCGGUUUAUUUUCAACCGGUUUUUCUUCGUCCCACCUCCCACCAGCCCCUCCCACCGGUUUUUCUCUUUUCUCGUCUGACCGGCAAUACCCAACGUAUUUAUGGUAAUCAAUCAUAAUUAAUCGACGUAUAUUAAUUAUCAAUCCAGGUAUGGUAAGGUCAUAACUCAGGAAAUUUUGAAUAUGGCAAUUAUAUGAUAAUAAAUUUAAAUUACCCCAAAGGCUAUCAAUCCAGAUAUGGUAAGGCCAUAACUCGGGAAAUAUCGAAUAUGGUAAUAAAUUUAAAUUACCACCAGGUAUGGUAAGGCUACCCACGUAUAGUAAUAAAUCAUAUAGUAAUAAAUCAUAAUUAAUCCACGUAUAGUAAUAAAUCAAUCCAGGUAUGGUAAGGUCAUAACUCAGGUAAUUUUGAAUAUGGUAAUAAAUUUAAAUUACCCCAAAGGCUAUCAAUCCAGGUAUGGUAAGGCCAAAAAUCGGGAAAUAUUGAAUAUGGUAAUAAAUUUAAAUUACCCCAAAGGCUACCAAUCCAGGUAUGGUAAGGCCAUAACUCGGGAAAUAUCGAAUAUGGUAAUAAAUUUAAAUUACCACUAGGUAUGGUAAGGCUAUCCACGUAUAGUAAUAAAUCAUAUAGUAAUAAAUCAUAAUUAAUCCACGUAUAGUAAUAAAUCAAUCCAGGUAUGGUAAGGCCAUAACUCAGGAAAUAUCGAAUAUGGUAAUAAAUCAGCGAUCCGUCCGUAUUACUAGCUCAUCCGAUAAAUCAGCGAUCGAGUAAUUAAACCGUGCAGUAAUUAGUACUCCCUCCGUAUAUGGAAGGAACCGCCGGAGUAUUCCAUAGAUUAGCCACAGGAUUUUGGCAAUCUCGCUGUGGCAUCUCGGAUUUCGGAAAUCACGCGCCCGCAGACGCCGCCGUGCCCCCCCUGCAACCACCGCCAGAGUCGGAGGCGAACGCGAUCGCAAUCGCGACGUGUAUAUAUAUACAAGGGCCUGCAAGCAAACCCCAGUGCUCCUGAUCACCAUGCAUUUCUUCUAGGUCGUCAUGGCGUGGAUGUUCCCGUGCGCCGUGUGGGCAGCGAUGGCGCCGGCCGUGGCGACGGCAGCGACCAUGGACGGCACUUCGAGCUUUGAGCAGGGCAGCUCCUCGUCGCCGGCAUUCGGCCCUGGCGACGCUAAGGUGGCCUCCGACCCGGGCUCCUCCCUGGCGUCGAGGUCGUCCACCUCCUCCUCCUUGCUCGGCGCCCGAAGCAGCUCGUCGAACAGCGCACGCUCACCGUUGAGGGAGGGCCGUGACACGGCCGCACGGAAGGGCCACGCGCUAAGGCGGUGCCUGCACAGGUUCGCCAGAAAUCUGCAGCGCGCCGGUGCUGCGGACGAGUGGUCAGACGGGCGCGGGAGACGGAAGGGUCGGGCGACGAAGCCGGACGGGAGGGUCGCCGCCGGCGACGACGGCACCGCCCGGGCGAGGGAGGAGGCCGUCGCGAGCGCGAUCGCUUACUGCAAGGGGUCGAGCCGGUAGCGCUGCAGGCCGCCGUUGGCUCCCUCGCCCAGCUUGGACAGCUGGCUCCUCCUUCGUCCGGAGGAGGAGAUCGGCACCAGCGCCACGAGCGCCGUCUCGCCCUGCGAAUGCGAGGCGCAGGGCACCUCGAGCGCCGCCGCCCCCCACCACGGCCACGCGGCCUGCGACGGUACGUGUUGUCAACCGAUCCGUCGGUCGAUCUGCUCUGCUGCACCCGUGCACGUCUAAACCGUCGUUGAUCUCCUUCUUGCAGCAGAAUGCGGCGGCGGCAGCCCGUCGACGGUGGAAACUCGGCGAGGUCCAGCCGGGGAGAUGGAAAAGGGUGACGCUGUCGACGGGCUUGACGGGGACGUCCUUAGGAUAACGAGUUACUUCGCCGCCAAAUAUGUGCGCGCGGUGCGCCAUUGAAGAAUAGCUCGGGGUUCGUCUCACAUGAGGCGAAGCAAACAGUAUUUCGUAAUCUAGAGGACCUUGUCUUACGUACCUUCGAUCUUGUAUGAUCUGUCCAUAUCAGUGUGCGAGUAGUAGUAAUAUGAUUGUAGUAAGAUCUGUCCAUAUCAAUUGUCGAUCUUAUUCUUAUAUGAUAUGAUGGCUUGCAGCAUUCCUAAGAUCUAACGAGAAUCUCCUGGAGUUAACGACACAAUCGUUCAAUUGUUUCUGAAUCAGACUGCAAUUUUGAAGCUUAAUUGGCAAAGGAGUUAAGAUAUAGACAAUCCUAUUUAUUCAAACUAGCUUUGCUGAAUCGAAAGAAAAGAGACAACUUGGAUUCAAUCAAAAGAAAUUAGAAGAUUUUAGUACUGGCAUGUAUUCACCUCAAUCACUAUAUGCUCUGUUUGUACUCUACACAUGAGGAAUAUAUUCACCUUUAACUUCUUUUUUUGCGGAAAUAAGACUUUCAUUCAUCAACCACGGUCAUUACACUCCAGAUUUUACAUAGAGCGUGAAUUCCAUCCGGCGCAUGCCCAUGCACGUUGAAUUAUCAAAUGAGUAUAAAGUUGGUCUUUUUUUUAACUACUACACUCCAGAUUCUCGAGCAUGGAGAUAGGCGAGUUGUAGACCAAGAGCUGGUACAGAUAUAGGCGAGUUGUAGACAAGAGCUGGUGGGCAGCAAGAAACGCAUGCACACCAAAGAACAAAUCUGAGUCACAUGCCUACUUCUAUUGGUUUCUACAAAGAGCGGCUAGCUUAUAUCUUAGACCAGUCGGUCACUGUCGAGGUUGCCAAGGUGAUCUUACAGCACCGCCGUGGGGAUUUCUCAUAUGAUUUUAUGUAGGCAAGCCGCAAGCGGUGGUGGUGAUUGGCUGGGUGGUGUCGCUGCCUUGGGAAGAGACAAAGUGAUGGUAAAAGUAAGCAGGAUCCGAUGAUUCUUUCGUGGGGAUAGCCAAAGUCAAGAUGUCGACUACAGACUCGUCGCAGACUUGCAGUGAACCUGGAUGCGGCAAGCCUGAUUUGUGGAUCGAUGGUGGGUCUUGACUUUGUUAGGCUGGGAUUGGAUGGUUGCGAAGGUUGGUGUGCUUGGUUGGGUUCCCAUGGAAGAAUGUGGCCUCCUCGUGGAUCUGGUCAUUCCCAUCCUAGAGAACAUUGUGUCCCUAGCUCCCUCGAGGAGCAAGGACAGUGCAAGCGGCAACAGGGGGUAGGGGUAGAUGUGGGGAGGGAUGUCGGCGGCUGCUCGAGGUCAUCAUGAUGAAACCCUUGACGUCCCAUCUUUAUCAAUGGAAGUGGCAGAGUAGGAAGUCGAGAUUGGAUAGGAGUUUGAGUUCUUUUUGGCACCGAUCGGUUCCCCACUUUAGAGAUGUAUUUUUUUUGCGUGCGAGCAAACAGUGAGUUGAUUCUAAAAGGGAUAGGCACUUUUCAACAGAAGUGCAUGACGGACCAAAAAUAUGACCUCAUUUUAUUCGUUUGAUAGAUAUCAUAUUAUUCGUUGUUGUUCGUUCGGUGAAAUUUCCUAAUAUUUGAUUGUUGUGUUUCUAAUUAGAGCACCCCAUAAUCACCCAAUAUGAGGGGAUGAUAAAUGAAAAAUACUGAUUAUAAAUUUCGAAGAGCCCGUGGCAACGCACGGGCGUUAUACUAGUCUAGUCUAAUUACACACAUAUUGAUGUUUAGUUGGCAGGAAGACUAGUUUGUCAAAACAUCCCCAUGCGGGAUCUAGUUUCGAAGAGCACGUCACGAAGAUUCCAGUGAUGAAAACGGAUCUUAAUUCCGAUACGCGGAUUAAAAGUUAUCCUUUUUUUAGUUUUUGAAAUCACGAAUUAAAUACACCAAAGAAUAAAACGCAUGCACCGAAGGGAUGACUGUGCACACAUUUAAUGAUCAGAUGAAAAACUUUCUUAAUUAGGAUGGUUAAUUAGGAAGAGGGACAAAAAAUUCUUAAAAUAGCCGGCCGCCAUGCAGCGCUAACGGGCAGCUGUGUGCCCGCUAGACGCGUCCUUUUAUUAAACAUAUUGUUUUCAUCAAAGAAUAAUUACUUUGGUCUGUAUAUUUUUUUGUGCAGCAAAGGUGGUGCCAUAUUGUGCCUAUGAAGUGUAUGUCAGCACCAUCACGCACCGGCGUCUGCGUCCGCUUACUGAUGAAACAGGUGUGCGCAAGUCGCCGCCCGUGCAGCUUAACCUACAUCAACCCGCCGUUGCGGUGUGAGCCGCCUCUGCCUUGACCCGUAUAGCCUCUUUGAGUCGUCGGGACCCUGCGACCCGUGUCACUGGGACUGAAGAAGUUUCGUGAGCCGUCCCACGUUAAAACGUCACAUGUUGAACCGCCGCCUGCCCUCGGGUCGACUCACACCCUUUUCAAGUUGUUCAAAGUUGUCGCCUCCGCCGCCUCAACCGCGCUGCCACUGCAGUUUAUGAGCCACCGCCCUGGUGAUGCCUCCGUCUCGCUGCUACGUCAACCCGCCGGAGCCGCGUUGAUCCGCCCUUGCCGCUUUGAGCCGCUAGGGUUAUAUUAAAUCGCCGGUCUGCCUGAGCCGUCAGAACUAUAAUGAGUCGCUGGUCUGCCUGAGCCACCUCUGUCGCAAUAAGCGGAUCAUCCAUCGUCCAAACAAAUCAGGUGCUACCCAUCCAAGUUUGAUUUAUUUGCACAUGUUGUUUUUGUCAAAGAACAAGUUUAUCUUUGCCUUGGUCUGCAAUAUUGUUUAUGCAGGGCAAUUAUUUAUGACAAAAAGUGAUAUUAUACCGCGAAGAUGGAGGCACGCCAACAUUUUUUGGCACAGGUGGUCGUCGUUACUCAACGGACUCCCGCACCGGCUUACAACGUCGUGUCCGUCUCUCACGGCCGCACCGGCUUACAACAUCGUGGCCGUCUCUCACGACCGCACCGGUUUACAAUGCCGCGGUCGACUCUCCCGUCCACACCGGUUUAAAGCGUCGUGGCCGACAGAUCUGUCAGCACCCGCGCCGACUCGGCCGUAAUUGAUUCCAAUUUCACCAUGGUGAUCAUCAACUCCGCGGUCAUAAUUGCUGACCUGACGCACCAGGUGAAAUCCAUCCAGUAUAUUUUUAUAUUAUAUAUUGCUUUUUCUAUAAAAUAGCAAUUACUCCGGUUUGCAAGUUCUCCCAUGCAGGAUUCAAACUGGGCUACAUUACGGUUAAUUAUGAAGAAUCUCAAACCAACUUCUCAUGUUGCCUCGAGACUCGGGGGCUAUGAUGAUAUGACUCGGUAAAUGAUUGCUAGUUUAAGGAAGAUUCAAGAACUCCGGGUCAUUGGAAGAAAAAAUAGCCCGGCCCCGGAGGCUACUGUCUUUUUGACGAAUAUUUAAAGGCUGUCAGGAAAUUUCCGGCUUAAAAGAAAGGAUUCUGGUUCAAGAUCCAGUUCAAGGUAAACCUGUUUCCCACAAAGCUUGAAGCUCUCAAAUCCAGUUUAAAGUUCCGGUUCAAAAAUAAUUAAUCUCUCGUAAGUUUGAGUUCUCAGACAAAUUAAUGGUUGCCAAAGAGAACUUGCUGCCAUGAUGCGCGAUUCAAACAUGGGUAUCCUGCCUUACGGCUUAUCUUAUUAUGAUCACUUGGGGGCUUCAUGCUCAUCGAGCAUAGCUGUCAAUACCCUCUUGGUCGGCGCAAUGCCAAAACUUAUAUGGUCACUUGGGGGCUUCCUGUUCAAACAUAGGUCGUAUUCGAACCAAAGAGAACAUAGCUGUCGUAACCCUUUUGAUCGGUGCAAAGCCAAACUCACUAGGGGGCUUCUUGAUCGUAUCCGAAUCAUAGCUUAACCCCUUUUGGAUCCGACUUGGAUCGUAUUCGAAUUAGGGUCGUUAAAAACCUCACAAGGUCAUUUGGGGGCUUCCUGUUCAAACAUAGGUCGUAUUUGAACCAAAGAGAACAUAGAUGUCGGUACCCUCUUGAUCGGCGCAACGCCAAAGCCACUGGGGGCUACAUGAUCGUAUUCGAAUCCUAGCUUAACCCCUUUGGAACGGUUUACUGAUCAUAUUCGAAUCAAAAACCUCAAUUUUUAUUUGGUUUAAGGAUUUUGCAAACAAUCUUUUGGGUUUUGAUACUUUUUGCUCAUAUCUGAAGCAUAUAAGUGUGGUUUCAUUUAAACCCGACUUAGCUUUGGACGAUAAGUUGCCAGCAUGUGACAAUCAUCAUAUAUUUGGAAGUAUUGGUUUCUAAAGAUCGGGUUAUCACACUUACUGCACGGGUCAUGUAAACCGGCAGUACAAAUUAAAUAUCACAAUGGUUACAUAUGGGAUAUUAUGAUCCGCCCUGUGGUAAACCGCCAGGGGAUCUUGUGAUUUACCUAUGUGCAGGAUAAGACUACAUUUGACUAGUUACCCGCCCUGGUUUUUUAUGUUAAGUCGCGAGGGUAUAUGUUGUUUAAAAACUCUGUACAGGAUUUACAGAGCUAUGAUUUACAUAAAGGAUUAAGUUCCAUCCCAUCAUCAAAGAUUGAAAUUGGUGUCUCAAAAGGGUUAUUAAUUUUUGAUUUUCUCAAAGGCUAUAAGCCGCCGGGUUAUAAAAAUUCUGGCUUACAAUGGAGGCAUAUUAAAUCACCAUCGGCCAAGAGCCGCCGGGUAUUUAAACUCCGGAUUUACUUGUCAACAGAUAAGGUAUUUGAAUCUUUAAAUAGCCAAACUUGGCUGGAUUUUUAUUAUGAUAUUGAAUGACUGAGGUUUUCAAACCGAGUUAUUCAAAUCUUUAAUAGCCAACAUGGCUGGAUUUUUAUUAUGGUUAUCAAUAACCAAUAUUACGAUUGAGGUUUUCAAAGUCGCUUCAGCGUAAUGGAUAUUAUUUUAUCAAUGGAUAUACUUUAUUCUACAAUGGAAGGAAUAGUCCCGAGUCACUGUAGGCUUACGACCCGGCACUUGGGGGCUACAUUAGUCAAAUUGAGAUUACAUCGAAUAUGUAAGUCCCAUCUCACUGCCAGCAUGCACCAUGGCACUUGGGGGCUAAUGCAAAGUCAUUUUUUGCUUAACUUAUUGAAGACUCGACUCGUCACAUUCUAAAUGAGCCGGCCCUUGGGGGCUACACAUUUUUGUUCAAAUUUACAUGGUUAUAUCUAAAAAGUCCCUGCUCAUUAUGGCAUAAUGACCCGGCCCUUGGGGGCUACACUGGUUGAUGUUUUUUAUGAGUAUAAGCAAUUACAAGUCCCAGAUUGCUGCAAGCAUGACAACCCGGCACUUGGGGGCUACAUGUGUGGAAUAUUCAGUUUAUAUGAUUGAGAUGAAUAAACCGGAUUUCUUCAAGGUUGCAACAUUUAUUGGAGCAAGUCUUAAACCAUCACUUUGUUCUGCUCAAGACUUGGGGGCUACAAGUAAUACGGAUAUAAGGGAGAAAAAAUCUUCAAAUUAUCAGUUUUGAGCAAAUCAGGAGGAUCAAUUACAUAAACCGGUGUCAACAACAAUUAUAACCCGGCAUCGUCUGUUUAAUAAUCCGGCAGUUUUUGGUAAUAAUAAACCGGCAAGUUUUACAUCUUCAAGCCGGCUGAAUAUCAGAUGAGUAUUUGAAGACCAAAAUUAUUUAACCCGGCGCCUUGGAAGCCGAACUCAAGUGGGCGCCAACUGUCGUGGAAUUGUCACGACAGAUGUCCUUAGUGUCAGGACUUAGUCGCGAGGCCAACGCAUCUAUGUGGUAGCUUGAGAGGGGUUGAGCGGAAUCGAGAGACGCGACACAAGACAAGGGUUUAGACAGCUUUGGGCCCCGGGAAAUAUCAUCCGGUAAUAACCCUACAUGCUGUUUGUGGCUAGGUCUCAUUAUGAUCAUGAGGGAGUCGCCGGUAGGCCGGCUCUUUGUGUCUAGCCCUAUAUAUUGCUUCUUGUUGCUUGUCCCUCUUUGGGGAGCCCUGCCCCUCCUUAUAUAAGUUAGAGGGGCGGGAUACAUGUGGAGUCCUAAUAGGACUAGGACUAGUUUAUUCUCUUACUAGUUGAUUACAAGUCCGGGUCUUGCUUCUUCAUAAAGGAAAUAUUCCUCAUGCCUUCCGUCUUAAGCCGGCCAACCAUAAUAUGAGCCGGCCUACUGGGCCUUGGGCCUAGUCUUCUAUGUGACCCGCCGUCGGGGUCAUCCGUGAGUCGUCUGACCAGUGAGCCGCCAGACCCGUGAGUCGCCAGUCCUCCGGCGGGUCAUCGGUGAAGCGCCAAGCCCGGCAGGGUCAUACUUCCGGCCGGGUCAUACCGCGGGGUAUAUCCCCGACAACUUUAGUAAAUUUGUUUACAUGAUUCUCAUCGUAUUCGCAGGACAAGAAAGAAGCCACAAGAUCAAAUCUCAUCAAGCCUUACUUGAUGGAACAAAAAGAGACAUGUCCUGAUGCAAGUUCAAGCCCCUUCAUUGGUUGCAAAGAUUAAAUUGCAUGGUCCCGUUGGAUUCGUGGUGACAAGGUAUAAUCUUUUGUCUUCCAUACCUUGCUUGAUACUUACAAGCUUUGAACAUUUACUUAGUUUGUGCCAAAGACACGCAUUAGUGCUUUAUAUGGAUCUGAACAUGGCGGUCCAAAUUUGAUUGUGUGGGCUUGUGCCUUAUAGAGCGGCUUUAACUUAAUAUACAUUCCGGCGUCAACUUUAAAAUCCAAAAAGAUAAUGCUUGUCUAUUACUACUACUUUUCAGCCUAUUUUUUUUUACUAAAAGCAAAACUUGCUAGUUGGUUGCCAAACAUGGAGUUUGGAGUCGGAAUCCAGAUUUGGUGGAAUAAAAUCAUCCUGAAAAAAGAAAUCAUUUCGUUUCCAAAUUGAAAUGGAAACAAGGGUGCCAUUCGAUUUGCUUCUUUCGGAUAAACUCUGGGGAAGCAAGCAAGUCAGCAGGGCAUCCUGCGGCGUGCGUCCACGGGCGGAUCCCAUGGGACCAGCGCCGGGAGCGACGCUUUUGUAUCCGCUCGUGGACGCGUGGCCAUGCCGCGAGUCCCCCCAACGGAGUAGGGUCGAAGGCUCCCGUGGCUUCACAACCACUACUUUCUCUCCGUCUCUCUCUAUACAUAUCCUUGAGAAAGCAAAGUUGAAAGAUGAUGGUAGCAAUUACAUGGACUGGGUCCAUAACUUGAGGAUUAUCCUCAUUGCUGCACAGAAGAAUUACGUCCUGGAAGCACCGCUAGGUGCCAAACCCGCUGUAGGAGCAACGCCGGAUGUUAUGAACGUCUGGCAGAGCAAAGCUGAUGACUACUCGAUAGUUCAGUGUGCCAUGCCUUACAGCUUAGAACCGGGACUUCAACGAUGUUUUGAACGUCAUGGAGCAUAUGAGAUGUUUCAGGAGUUGAAGUUAAUAUUUCAAGCAAGUUCUACACCUGCGAGAUGGAGGAGAACAGUUCUGUCAGUGAACAUAUACUCAGAAUGUCUGGGUACUAUAACCACUUGAAUCAACUAGGAGUUAAUCUUCCUAUUGAUAGUGUCAUUGACAGAGUUCUUCAAUCACUUCCACCAAGGUACAAGAGCUUCGUGAUGAACUAUAAUAUGCAAGGGAUGGAUAAGACAAUUCCUGAGCUCUUCGCAGUGCUAAAGGUUGCAGAGGUAGAAAUCAAAAAGGAGUAUCAAGUGUUGAUGGUCAACAAGACCACCAGUUUCAAGAAAAACGGUAAAGGGAAGAAGGGGAACUUCAAGAAGAACGGCAAGAAAGUUGCUGCUCAAGUGAAGAAGCCCAAGUCUGGACCAAAACCUGAGACUGAGUGCUUCUACUACAAAGGGACUGGUCACUGAAAGCGGAACUGCCCCAAGUAUUUGGCGGAUAAGAAGGAUGGCAAGGUGAACAAAGGUAUAUGUGAUAUACAUGUUAUUGAUGUGUACCUUACUAAUGCUCACAGUAGCCCCUGCGUAUUUGAUACUAGUUCUAUAGCUAAUAUUUGCAACUCAAAACAGGGGCUAAGGACGAGGUGACGAUGCGCGUGGGAAGUGGUUCCAAAGUCUAUGUGAUCGCGGUCGGCACGCUAUCUCUACAUCUACCUUCGGGAUUAGUUUUAGACCUGAAUAAUUGUUAUUUGGUGCUAGUGUUGAGCAUGAACAUUAUAUCUGGAUCUUGUUUAAUGCGAGACGGUUAUUUAUUUAAAUCUGAGAAUAAUGGUUGUUCUAUUUAUAUGAGUAAUAUCUUUUAUGGUCAUGCACCCUUGAAGAGUGGUCUAUUUUUGAUGAAUCUCGAUAGUAGUGAUACACAUAUUCAUAAUAUUGAAGCUAAAAGAUGCAGAGUUGAUAAUGAUAGUGCAACUUAUUUGUGGCACUGCCGUUUAGGUCAUAUUGGUGUAAAGCGCAUGAAGAAACUCCAUUCACUACAAGAAAUCUGGUAACACAUGACAGAUCUAGUCCGUCACAAAUCGGUCAAAAACUGUCAUGCGUGCCCGUCGAUGACGAAUUUAGAAUCCGUCAUGUAUGUCGCGUCAUAAUUUGGAAUCAUACCUUCCAUGACGGUUUUUGACCGUUAUGGAUCUGCCUUAAGCCCAUCCAAGCCCAAACUAGGCCCAAUCCUUCAUGACGAAACAAACCGUCAUGGACCAACGCCACGUAGAAUUUUCAAUUCAACAACUAGAAUGAUGUGGCUGCCUACGUGUACGCUACUUUUCGUCACAGAAACCAUCAUAGAUUUAGGAUCAAAUUAAAUUUGGUAUGCUUCAUUUCUUUAAGCCCAAUUUGAGACCAAACACUUUUUAGCAUAAUGUGGUGCACAAAUCAUAAUGCCAAUUUUGGCCGAAGAUAGUAUUUGCAAAGUGUUAUACGUCACACAAAUCAUUCAAUAUACAGCCAUCCAUAGGCAUAUACUAGCAAACAUGCCUGUGUGUUGCAACGGGAGAAAAAAGUGGUGUGUUUUACUGCGAGCAAACGUAAAUUUAUCAUUAAUUAGGCUAGACAUGUAGAGGAUAAGUUUGAUGAUGAUAAAAAUGAUGAAUCAAAUAGAAUUCUUAGGGGCGUCAAUCAUAUUCUGUUGCGUACAUGCAUGAUUUUUCAUCGCAAUUGAGAUCAACUAAAGAUUCGAUUGCCAUGACACGUAAAUAUCUGUGUUUUGACGCCAAUAAUUUAUUACGCACUCGUAUGAAAUGAGAACAAUAGCAGCUGGAGACAAUUUAUUUUAUAUUUACUUUAUAGGACAUGCAAGCAUAUGUGUGUUGGCUCGUGUGUGCUUUAACCUGUUCAUACACCUUUCAAUAAUAAUAUCACUAAAUCCCGCAAUGUGUGCAUAGUUUUGGAGAACAAACACAUGUGUGCACUCCUAAAAAGGUGGAAGAUAUUUACCGAUCCAUCCAAACUGCCUGCACGUAGUUAGAAAAAAAAUUAGCCGGUUCUCCAGGCGUGGUAUGGACUCGUCAGUUCUUCCCUGAGCUCACCCCGUCGCCUUAUCUCUUCGGUUUUCUCGUCAAUUAUCCAUCCCAAGUUCCCAACCCCCACCCCCACCCCCACCCCACCUUGAUACCAGACGUGUCGUCGCUUCCGCCUGCCCCAUCAUCGCCACCGUUACCCCGUUACCCCCCGCACCGCUCCUCUGCUCCGGCCGCUCGUCUUCCUGCCCACGCUGCCUGCCAGGAUACCCCGCUCCCGUGCUCCACCACCCAGCACCAAUGGCCAUGGCGGGCUACAUACUCGCGCGUCGGAUCCCCGGCUCCCCUGCUCCACAACGCCAGUGGCCGCCGCGCGUCCCACGGCGGCGACCAUGGCGGCCUCUGAGCGGGCUCCGAGCGCUCCAGCCAUGGCUGAUGGCCUUCAGGGUGUCGCCGCGGAGCUUCUCCAGUCGGCUUUCGCCUCCAUUCGUCGGAACCCCAAGCACCGCCAACGUGGAGUGUCCCCAUCCCCGCCAUCUAUAGGCGCGGUGUCGGCCGACGAGCAAUUCCCCGCCUGCACCUCCCGCCUGGCCGGCCGGCCCGAGCGCCGUCCUCGCCUCCUAUAGCAGACGCGUUUUUUCCCUCCACUGACCCACCUCCAUACCCUUGCCUCCCGCCGAUCUUGUCCCGCCUUUUGUUGAUUCUUGAGGAGGCUGGUUGAUGCUAGGGAUAACGUAGACAUAUUUGAAUUGGUGAGAUUCGAUUCACAGGGGCAAGGUGGGAUUAUUCAGUGUAUCACUAUAUAUUCAAUUGUAUAUGCAGCCUACGACGGAUACAAUUGAGCAUGGAUGCAGGCCCAGCCGAGGUUUCGCAUAUAUUAUCAGUGCUUAUGUAUACUCCAUAAGUCGAGUAUUAUUAGGUGGGCUGACCACUUAGCCGCGUCCGUAUUUUUCAAGCCGGAAGUAAUGUGCUACUUUAUUCGUUCAUUGAAUGGUACUCCUAAAUAUCUAGUAUAUCUUAUGUAGUUGUGUGUGGAAAUACCUAACCAUUCAAGGCAUAAUCAUGUCUUUAAUUAGAGCUAACCAUUAUCUCAUCAUAAAAAAACAAAUAGAACCACAAUCCCUUUGUAAUCAUCCAGCAUGCAUAUCUCAAGAAUCAGUUUUAAUCAUCCAGCAUGCACAUGCAACACGGCUACGGGGCGCAGUUGAGCAGGACAGGAGCGGCCGUAUAGCCGCCGUAUAUGCAUGUAGUUUUUAAACCCAACGAUGGUCUUGCCUAUGAAAUAAUAUGUUAAGGAGCGAGAUGGUACUAUUUAAUAAAAAUAUGAAUCCUCCCAUCAGCACACGAACAUGAGGUUGCUCGGUUGGUCGUCGCGUUCCGAACUGGUUGGCAAGUAGUCAUUAGACUUUAGAUUUAGUGCUCCAUCUUAGUAGUGCUUAGUUGAUAGCUCGGCUGGUUAGCUUCAGUAACAUCCAACGUGAGAUCUAGAGUUCGAUUCCUACAGUACCAAUUAUAUUUUCCGUAUUUCGUUCGAAGCCUGCGAAUUGGGCCGGCCCUUUUGUGCGUCCGGCCGCUGUGAUCGAUUCCUUGAAGAAAACGCUCUGCUCGAUGAAUUGGGCCGGCCCGGCUGCGUGUACUCCCGUUAAAACUGGCGUCCGAUCGUUGUGAUCGACUAUAAUAUAAAAGGAAAAAAAUUAGUACCACCUCGAAUAUGUUUUAAAUCCAAGCUGAAAGCGUAAAAUCAUGGGAAGAAGUGUAUUGUGACAGUGAACCCGGAGACUCAAUCCAUGCUUUAUUACUAGCACUAGCAAAAAUGGGAAGAAGUGUAUUGCGUUGCCAUAGCCUAAUAAGCAUGGCUUAAUGGCUCAUGGAUAAACCCUUCCCGGUGUUAUUCCAUAUUCUCUAUCUCCACACAGCAUCCAAUUUAUGUGCUUAUCCUCCUUUUCGCCCUCAUCGAUGGUGGCCAUCUAUUUGAUCACAACACAUGGUCAAUCCCAAGGUGAUAAGCUCUGCUUCUUUUGGUAUACACAUUUGAGUAAUCCAUUCGUGUUAUCCAAACAGACUUGUUGCGAUUUAGAUCCAACGAAUCACAAAAGGAACUAUUAAUGUUUUAAUUGAACCAGUGCUUUAUUAGAACUUCUAUUGUUUAUUUUCUAGGACAUUGGUUUUGCAAUUUAAUACACUCCAUCCAUUUGAUCACAAUAUGUGGCCUGUUACCAGACAAUAUUAUAUCAAUUUAUUCUACUAAAUAUAUGUUUUAGUCUAAACGGUGGACAAAGGAACAAACAUAUAUAUCCGAGCCUAUAGUUGUAUUUGUGGCAGGCACCCUAAAAGAAGAAAACGAAUCAGUCGCAUCUGUCUAUUUUUCCUUGUAAACAAUCUACAGCACAAACACACACAAAUAUUUAGCUAAGCAAAACAUGGUGUAAGAAGCCCAACUAAUAGGUUAGCCAACGCAUAAAGCGGUGUGCAUUGCAGACAACAACAAUCUUGGUCGUCAACACCUGUCCUAGCCAUGCCAUAUACCAACCCUUGUGUAGUUUCCCUCAUCUUCGCCUUGCUUGCAAUGCAGUGGCCGUUGUUCGUCAUGUCGAUAUUGUGAUUGACCCACUCAGAUCUGUCCAGUGGGAGCUCUAGCUACUCAGAUGUUUCAGUUCACUAAGUUUGAAAAGUCCACAACGUCGAGGUGGAGCCACCUCGCUGCCAAUUCCUCCUCGAAUCACUUUUCUUAGUUAUAAGGCCACGUCACACUCACUAAUAGAAAAUCUGCCAGCAGUUCAGUAAACAAAAGUUGACUAACAGAACAUGUAUAUACCUACACUACAUGUAAAUAGGGUCUUAUAUAUGAACCGAGGUUGAUGGAUAGACAAAAAGUAUCGCGGACAUUGCCGAGUAAGUAGCACUGGAUCAGAUCGCUUGAGAGUAAUAUUACUAUAGACUGUAUGAAGACUACAUGUAUUUUCAGCUGGGCAACUAACAACCUCAGCUAUUUUCCGAAUAGAAGUCAUCAAGAUACCCAUGUUAAACCACAUGGAUAUUGCACAAUCAAAGCCACACAAACAGCUUGAGCCUUUGGGCAUCAAGAUGCAACAUAGCAGUUUGUAAAAUCCUCCAUAAUAUGAUAAUAUACAACAUAUAUUGACUUUGUCACAGCAAGGUUAGGAACAAGUACAAAUGCAAUUUACAUCAACAAUCCGUAUAAACUACUAAGGUUGUUAUUCAUGUUGUCGUUGACCCUCCUGCUGGAGGCUACAUGUCAUGGCAGAUUGUGAUGGAUAGCACCAAGGUAGACCGCUACACUAGUAGAAAACAGGGCUUUGGUCCAGGCCGGGUCAGCCUAUUAGUCCCGGUUCAGUCCAGAACCGGGACCAAUGGGGGCAUUGGUCCCGGUUCGUGAGCCCAGGGGGCCGGCCGAGCUACGUGGGCCAUUGGUCCCGGUUCAUCUGGACCUUUUGGUCCCGGUUGGUGGGAUGAACCGGGACCAAUGGGCCUCGCUCCUGGCCUACAACCAUUGGUCCCGGUUCGUGCCUCAAACUGGGACUAAAGAUUAGACCUUUAGUCCCGGUUUGAGGCACGAACCGGGACUAAUGGGGUUGAGACCUUUAGUCCCGGUUCGUGCCACGAACCGGUACUAAAGGUCCAAUUUUCAAAUUCUACCCCCCCUAUCGCCUUUUCAGUUUUUUUAAAAAAAGAAAAUGAUGGAAAUGUCAAAAAGAAAAGAAAAUAAGUUUCCCAUGUGAUAUGUGGUCUAGUUGUUGGGAAAAUUUGCAAAUGUGAAUUUUGACUUUAUUUGCAAAAUCUCUCUGAAAUUUGUAAAAAUGGGCAUAACUUUUGCAUACUAACUCGGAUGAAAAAGUUUUUUAUAUGAAAAAGCAUCUACUCAAAAAGUUACAUCCGAAUUUAACGGGGGAACUCUGUUAAACAUUUUCAAAAUCCUCAAAAACCUAAUAGAAAAAAGUUACGGGGCUUUUAAGAUCUAGAGUGAAAAAAAUCGAAAAAAAAUUCAAACAGUGGGCAAACUGUGGUCAAACAAUGGUCAAACUAAUUAUUCUAGAAUAUUAGUGUUACUAAAUAAUUAUUUCUGUUAUUUCAAUUUUGGUCAAAUCUGGUCAAACUGUGGUCAAACAAUGGUCAAACUAAUUAUUCAAGAAAUAUUAGUGUUACUAAAUAAUUAUUGUUUUUUAAAACAAUAGUUUCAAAAUAAAACUAUGAAAUGUGUCACUUCAUGCUCAAGCAAAAUUCCUGAAGGUUAAUAGGAUUGACAUCUUAGUAUUGUCAGGAAAACAACAAAUGCAGACUUGGAGUGAGGGAGAAUAGAACCCGGAAGUUAAGAGUGCUCAGGCUGGGGGAGUCGGAGGAUGGGUGACCGUUCGGGAAGUUAGAUGAUUUGGAAUGAUGAGGGGUGAUUAGAGGAUAAAUUGAGAAGUGAUGAGGGGUGGUGAUUACAGACUAGAGGUUAAAAUAAUUCAGAAAUUUGAAAAUCAAAAAAAUUUCAAAAAAAAAUUUCAAAAAAAAAUUCAAAAAAAAUCAUAAAAUUUCCUUUAGUCGGUGGAGCUCCACGUGGCCGCGCCCUUUAGUCCCGGUUCUGGAUUGAACCGGGACUAAAGGGAUAGGCAUUAGUACCGACCCUUUAGUCCCGGGACUAAAGGCCCUUAUGAACCGGGACUAAAGGCCCUUUUUCUACUAGUGCUACCCAAUGAUACCUAUCAUAUUUACAGCAACAUUAUACAUUUUGUAGACAUGAAUUAAUAGUAGAAAUAUGAGAAUUGUAAGAAACUAAAAAAAUAAAUUACAUGAUUUCCAAAAUCCUCAAAUCUUAGCUUACAAAUGAGAAUAAAAAGUAUCUACUAUAAAACAACAAUAAACAUAAGGUUGCUACAAAUUGAUCCAAAUAGAAAUGUGUCAAACGAAAGUCUAAUCAAGUUGACCUAUAAUUGACAACAUAAUAUAAAUGUGUCAAAUGAAAGUAUAGCCAAGUACUAUAGCAGCAGCAGUAGAGGCCAUAUAAAUCCGCCAAAAAAUGGCAUCAUUAAUAAACAAUAUCCAUGACGCGAAGCCACUGCUCGUCUACCUGGAUGGCGUAAGCUUCUAACGUUCAUGUCUCAACAUGUUUACACAUGAAACUAAAUACUUAUCAAGGCACUGACAAUAGUAAACAACACCUGCUUGCCAAGUGAAACCGAAAUGGCAUGCAAAAUAACUAAGAGCUAUGGCCACUAAUAAAUCUAUACUAGUAACAAAUGGUUUCGUUAAGAGAUACGGAGAUAGUGGUUAGGACGUAUCAGUUAUUGGUCUUAACAACAUGCAUACUGGGAUUACUUUGAUUCGAGUGCAUAAGAACAUAAGUUUAACCACCAAGAUCCAUGUGGCACAAGCAAAUUAGUGGAAAAUCGCAUCCUCAUGAAAUAUGCGUCACUCUGAACUGGAUCAACCAAAUAGGUGCAUUUCAGUAGCAGUUCAGCUAGGGAAUGGAAAUAGCAGAGAAAUCAUAGGAAUGGCAGUAGAGAACUAACCCCUGGUUGAUCGCGGAGCAGCUCCAUCACUACCACCGUUGCUGCCCUCUCAAGCUCUAUUGUGUGCCAUGCAACGGCACGGCUGUUACGGCACUACCAGACCUGCAUCCCAAAAACAAGAGAUCAUAAUCAGACAAUUCAAGUGUUAAGUGAUUGAAAAAAGAGGAACAACAUCAAGAAAAAGAUUUAGGAUCACUAGCCAGUAGCACUAUUGAGGAGGGCAACCUAGGCAUGGAGCAAAGGAGUUGAAGAAAAAAUGUAUUGUGCCACUGUGUUGGCAAGUGCUAGCCCAGUUUGUGCCUCAAGACUGAGAGACAGUUUGCUAACACGUGGACUUGGUACUAGUACUUCUAGGUGCACAAUUAAUAGUAGUACUACUACUCUAAAUUGACUCACUAAUACAUAUGCUUCGUACACAUAUUUAAUAACAGGUUUAAACCUCUGUAUUCUAGCUGUAGGACUGCCACACUGUUGUAAUUUUCUUCUCAGAUUCAGAUUAAACUUAUUUCUGGAAUACAUAUUCACCAGGCUGCAGGACACAACAAGGACAGAAAAAGAAAUGGUUAGGGAGAAAACUCUAAACAGAAAAUGUCGACAUGUUAAUACAGUAACAAAAAUCUGCUCACCAGGACCUAGGGGAAAAUCUAAACCAAAUAGAUCUUGAUAGAAGGCCACAUACCACAGUGCAGCGGGUUAUCUCUACUUAGUUCCCUGCUGUUUGUCUCUAUUUGGUACCCUGCAGUGUACAAGAUACAGAGAAAAUAAAUUUCAGAGAGGAAGCACGCACACACAAGACACAGGCUGCUGAACCAAAGCCCUCGAUAGCAAUUGCUACCACCUUAUCAGCACGCAUAGACACACACCGUUAAGAGUUAGGGUAGGCAGUAGCCACACUAGGCAAUUAACCCUCACAGUGUUGGACCUUUCUUUAUCAAUUAUAUGAUAAAUGAAAUUGGGAGGGUUGCACGAUCCUACUUUCCAUUUUCCUUGUUAAAUCUUUAUUCUUAAUAUUGCAUUCUUUUUCAGAAAAUGAAGUACGACCUCACCAAUACAGAGUAUAAAUUAGUUGAUGAUAAAUUGAGAAGAUAUAUACAGUACACAAGGAUACAAAACCUGAACUUAAUAAUCCCAGCUCUACUAGCUGGCUCGGGUAUUCUGUCCUUUCGCAAAAAGAACUUGCAAAUAAAUAAAUGAAAUAGUUGUCUACAGAUAAUUUGCUUGAAUGAAUCAAGCCCAAAAAGACUAACGUCGAUCUCAGCAGAAUCUACAGGCAGCUAUCAAAUAUAUGAUGCGGAGUCAGAGACAAGAUGCUAGUUGGUUGUAAGAAUAGGAAAUAAGUACAGAGCAUUCAUACAAUCAGCAGGUCCACCGAUGAGCAUACACAACAUUAGUACACAACAUUAGUACUGGAUAGGUUUGCAAUUAUGGUGCGCAAUGUCCCAACAGGUAUAUCUGUAAAUAUGUAACCCAGCCAAACAAGAUAAGAAAAUCAUACGCUUAAACUGAACUGAGUUAUCUUGUAUCUCUAAUUAUUAUAUAGAUACUACAAAGUACACAAAGGACAUUAGAUAUUUCUGAAAUCAGGGGAAACUAUAACAACAAAUAGUAGCAUGGCCAUCAGAACACAACAUAGUUUCUGCAUCUGAAAUACGCAUUACACUGAAUCAUUGGGAGAAAAUUAGAGCAUCCACACAUGUAGCUAGCUUGACACCAAAACUAUUACUGCACACGGCAAAUAGAUGUUCUAUGCUUGCAAGAACCGGGACCUGUUCAGAUAUAUAUAGAUGAAGACGUUGAGUCAGUCAAAGCACAUCAUAACAAAAAAAGAAGAUGGCAGGAGGAGAGGAAGAUCGGGUUUGAGGUGCUCGCCUGGGCAAGGGAGGGCCUGCAGUGGUCCAAAUGCUGCAGAGGAGGUUGCCAUAGAAUGCACGGCCGCGUCUGAGCCGCGGCAGAGGAGGUCGAGGUCGCAGCCGUGCAGCCCGACGCACGUGAGCGAACCCAGCUAGGGGUUGCCAUCCAGGAGGCGGGGAGAGCACGAGGGCGCGCGGUCUGGAACACAGCGGAGUCAUCGGAGAUGCACCGGCGAUGGAGGCAACACCAUAGCCGAAACCCUGGCCACGGACUCAGGGUCGCGGGCGAGGUGGAUCUAGCCGGCCUGGAGGGCUAGGGUCGGAGACCAACUUGUGUGUUAUCUGUGAGAUGGUGAACAUCGUCGGAAUCGAUGGUUGUUGACCGUGCCGUGAGGGGUCAUACGGGAGAGAGAGAGAUUGUUUGUGACAGGGAUGGAUGGAUGGGGGAUGCGGCAGAUCUGGUAGCUGCCGGAGACGCUAGGUGAGAGGAGAGGAGGGGGAGGGGGAGGGAUGGCGGCGUGCGGUGGGAGGAGGGUGCGAGAAGGUGGUGGGUAGCGGUGAUGAGGAAUCGGGAGGGGGCUGCGGAGGAGGGAGAGAGGAUGAGGGUUAGAGUUAGUGCUUUAUAUGGGUAAAGGUUAGGCGGGCUUUGGCGGGCUUGCGGGGCUGUACCAUGACAUCCAUGACGGUUUUUGAAAAUGUCACCAGAAAUCCAUCAUAGAUUAACAGGUUUCUUGUGGUGAUUCUGAUGGACUUUUUGUUGGGGAACGUAGCAGAAUUUUAAAAUUUUCUACGCAUCACCAAGAUCAAUCUAUGGAGUCAUCUAGAAACGAGGGAGAGAGGAGUGCAUCUGCAUACCCUUGUAGAUCACGAGCGGAAGCGUUCAAGAGAACGGGGUUGAUGGAGUCGUACUCGACGUGAUCCAAAUCACCGAAGAUCCUAGUGCCGAACGGACGACACCUCCGCGUUCAACACACGUACGGAGCAAGGACGUCUCCCGCGCCUUGAUCCAGCAAGGAGGAGGGAGAGGUUGAGGAAGAGGGCUCCAACAGCAGCAUGACGGUGUGGUGGUGAUGAAGCUGCAGUACUCCGGCAGGGCUUCGCCAAGCUCUUAUGGAGGAGGAGAGGUGUUGGGGGGGGGGGCUGCGCCUUGGAUGUUGUAUGCAGCCCUCCCCUCACCCCUCUAUUUAUAGGGGAAAGGGGAAGGGGGCCGGCCACCUCUAGAUGAUAUCUAGAGGGGGGGCGGCGGCCAAGGGGAGGGGGGCUUGCCCCCCAAGCAUGGGGGUGCCCCCCCUUAGGGUUUCCCCCAACCCUAGGCGCAUGGGCCCUAGGGGGGUGUGGACCCCCGGAACCCCUCCGGUGGCCCCGGUACAAUACCGAUAUGCCCCCGAAACUUUCCGGCGACCAUAUGACAACUUCCCAUAUAUAAAUCUUUACCUCCAGACCAUUCCGGAACUCGUUGUGACGUCCGGGAUCUCAUCCGGGACUUCGAACAACAUUCGGUAAUCACAUACAAGUCUUCCUAACAACCCUAGCAUCACCGAACCUUAAGUGUGUAGACCCUACGGGUUCGGGAGACAUGCAGACAUGACCGAGACGACUCUCCGGUCAAUAACCAACAGCGGGAUCUGGAUACCCAUGUUGGCUCCCACAUGCUCCACGACGAUCUCAUCGGAUGAACCACGAUGUCGAGGAUUCAAUCAAUCUGUAUACAAUUCCCUUUGUCAAUCGGUACGUUACUUGUCCGAAACUCGAUCGUCGGUAUCCCAAUACCUUGUUCAGUCUCGUUACCGGCAAGUCACUUUACUCGUACCGUAAUGCAUGAUCCUGUGAUCGACCACUUGAUCACAUUGAGCUCAUUAUGAUGAUGCAUUACCGAGUGGGCCCAGAGAUACCUCUCUGUCAUACGGAGUGACAAAUCCCAGUCUCGAUUCGUGCCAACCCAACAAACACUUUGGGAGAUACCUGUAAUGUACCUUUAUAGUCACCCAGUUACGUUGUGACGUUUGGUACACCCAAGGCACUCCUACGGUAUCCGGGAGUUGCAUAAUCUCAUGGUCUAAGGAAAUGAUACUUGACAUUCAGAAAAGCUACAGCAAACGAACUACACAAUCUUUGAGCUAAGCUUAGGAUUGGGUCUUGUCCAUCACAUCAUUCUCCUAAUGAUGUGAUCCCAUUAUCAAUGACAUCUAAUGUCCAUAGUCAGGAAACCAUGACUAUCCUUUGAUCAACGAGCUAGUCAACUAGAGGCUCACUAGGUACGUGUUGUGGUCUAUGUAUUCACACAUGUAUUACGAUUUCCGGAUAACACAAUUAUAGCAUGAACAAUAGACAAUUAUCAUGAACAAAGAAAUAUAAUAAUAACCAUUUUAUUAUUGCCUCUAGGGCAUAUUUCCAACAGUCUCCCACUUGCACUAGAGUCUAUAUUCUAGUUACAUUGUGAUGAAUCGAACACCCAUGCAGUUCUGGUAUUGAUCACGUUUUGCUCUAGGGAGAGGUUUAGUCAACGGAUCUGCUACAUUCAGCUCCGUAUGUACUUUACAAAUCUCUAUGUCUCCAUUUUGAACACUUUCACGAAUUGAGUUGAAGCGGCGCUUGAUAUGCCCGGUCUUCCUGUGAAACCUGGGCUCCUUGGCAAGGGCAAUAGCUCCAGUGUUGUCACAAAAGAGGGUCAUGGGGCCCGACGCAUUGGGUAUGACUCCUAGGUCGGUAAUGAACUCCUUCACCCAGACUGCUUCUUGUGCUACCUCCGAGGCUGCCAUGUACUCCGAUUCACAUGUAGAUCCCGCCACAACGCUUUGCUUGCAACUGCACCAGCUUACUACCCACCAUUCAAAAUAUACACGUAUCCGGUUUGUGACUUAGAGUCAUCCAGAUUUAUGUCGAAGCUAGCAUCGACGUAACCCUUUACAACGAGCUCUUCGUCACCUCCAUAAACAAGAAACAUUUCCUUCGUCCUUUUCAGGUACUUCAGGAUAUUCUUGACCGCUGUCCAGUGUUCCAUGCCGGGAUUACUUUGGUUCCUUCCUACCAAACUCACGGCAAGGUUUACAUCAGGUCUGGUACACAACAUAGCAUACAUGAUAGACCCUAUGGCCGAGGCAUAGGGGACGACACUCAUCUUUUCUCUAUCUUCUGUCGUGGUCGGGCAUUGAUCCGUGCUCAAUCUCGUACCUUGCAAUACAGGCAAGAACCCCUUCUUUGACUGAUACAUUUUGAACUUCUUCAAUAUCUUGUCAAGGUACAUACUUUGUGAAAGACCAAUGAGGCGUCUCGAUCUAUCUCUAUAGAUCUUGAUGCCUAAUAUAUAAGCAGCUUCUCCAAGGUCCUUCAUUGAAAAACACUUGUUCAAGUAGGCCUUUAUGCUUUCCAAGAAUUCUAUAUCAUUUCCCAUCAACAUUAUGUCAUCCACAUACAAUAUGGGAAAUGCUACAGAGCUCCCACUCACUUUCUUGUAAAUGCAGGCUUCUCCAUAAGUCUGCAUAAACCCAAACGCUUUGAUCAUCUCAUCAAAACGAAUGUUCCAACUCCAAGAUGCUUGCACCAGCCCAUAAAUCGAGCAUUGGAGCUUGCACACCUUGUCAGCAUUCUUAGGAUCGAUAAAACCUUCCGGCUGCAUCAUAUGCAAUUCUUCCUUAAGGAAACCAUUAAGGAAUGCCGUUUUGACGUCCAUUUGCCAUAUCUCAUAAUCAUAGAAUGUGGCAAUUGCUAACGUGAUUCAGACGGACUUCAGCUUCGCUACGGGUGAGAAAGUCUCAUCGUAGUCAACCCCUUGAACUUGUCGAUAACCCUUAGCGACAAGCCGAGCUUUAUAGAUGGUCACAUUACCAUCCGCGUCUAUCUUCUUCUUAAAGAUCCAUUUAUUUUCUAUGGCUCGCCGAUCAACGGGCAAGUCAGUCAAAGUCUAUACUUCAUUUUCAUACAUGGAUCCUAUCUCGGAUUUCAUGGCUUGCAGCCAUUUGUCGGAAUCCAGGCCCGCCAUCGCUUCUUCAUAGUUCGAAGGUUCACCGUUGUCUAACAACAUGAUUUCCAAGACAGGGUUGCCGUACCACUCUGGUGCGGAACGUGUCCUUGUGGACCUACGAAGUUCAGUAGCAACUUGAUCUGAAGUUUCAUGAUCAUCAUCAUCAACUUCCUCUCUAGUCGGUGCAGGCACCUCAGGAACAUUUUCUUGAGCUGCGCCACUUACCGGUUCAAGAGGUAAUACUUCAUCAAGUUCUACCUUCCUCCCACUUAUUUCUUUCGAGAUAUACUCUUUCUCUAGAAAGGACCCAUUCUUGGCAACAAAGAUCUUGCCUUCGGAUCUGAGGUAGAAGGUAUACCCAACAGUUUCUUUAGGGUAUCCUAUGAAGACGCAUUUUUCCGACUUGGGUUCGAGCUUUUCAAGUUGAAGUUUCUUGACAUAAGCAUCGCAUCCCCAAAUUUUUAGAAACGACAGCUUAGGUUUCUUCCCAAACCAUAACUCAUACGGUGUCGUCUCAACGGAUUUCGACGGAGCCCUAUUUAAAGUGAAUGCGGCAGUCUCUAAAGCAUAGCCCCAAAAUGAUAGCGGUAAAUCGGCAAGAGACAUCAUAGAUCGCACCAUAUCUAAUAGAGUGCGAUUACGACGUUCGGACACACCAUUACGCUAUGGUGUUCUAGGCGGCGUGAGUUGUGAAACUAUUCCACAUUUUCUUAAGUGUGUGCCAAAUUCGUGACUCAAGUAUUCUCCCCCACGAUCUGAUCGCAAGAACUUGAUUUUCCUGUCACGUUGAUUCUCAACCUCACUCUGAAAUUCCUUGAACUUUUCAAAGGUCUCAGACUUGUGUUUCAUUAAGUAGACAUACCCAUAUCUACUCAAGUCAUCAGUGAGGGUGAGAACAUAACGAUAGCCACCGCGAGCCUCAACACUCAUUGGACCGCACACAUCAGUAUGUAUGAUUUCCAAUAAGUUGGUUGCUCGCUCCAUUGUUCCUGAGAAUGGAGUCUUGGUCAUCUUACCCAUGAGGCAUGGUUCGCACGUGUCAAAUGAUUCGUAAUCAAGAGACUCUAAAAGUCCAUCUGCAUGGAGCUUCUUCAUGCGUUUGACACCUAUGUGACCAAGGCGGCAGUGCCACAAGCAUGUGGGACUAUCAUUAUCAACCUUACAUCUUUUGGUAUUGACACUAUGAAUAUGUGUAGCAUUACGCUCGAGAUUCAUACCAUUCACCAUCGGAGCAUGACCAUAAAACAUAUCUCUCAUAUAAAUAGAACAACCAUUAUUCUCGGAUUUAAAUGAGUAGCCAUCUCGUAUUAAACGAGAUCCUGAUACAAUGUUCAUGCUCAAAGCUGGCACUAAAUAACAAUUAUUGAGGUUUAAAACUAAUCCCGUAGGUAAAUGUAGAGGUAGCGUGCCGACGGCGAUCACAUCGACCUUGGAACCAUUCCCGACACGCAUCGUCACCUCGUCCUUUGCCAGUCUCCGUUUAUUCCGCAGCUCCUGCUUUGAGUUACAAAUGUGAGCAACCGCACCGGUAUCAAAUACCCAGGAGCUACUACGAGUACUGGUAAGGUACACAUCAAUUACAUGUAUAUCACAUAUACCUUUCAUGAUGCCGGCCUUCUUGUCCGCUAAGUAUUUGGGGCAGUUCCGCUUCAAGUGACCACUUCCCUUGCAAUAAAAACACUCAAUCUCGGGCUUGGGUCCAUUCUUUGGCUUCUUCCCGGUAGCUUGCUUACCAGGCGCGGCAACUCCCUUGCCGUCCUUGUUGAAGUUCUUCUUACCCUUGCCUUUCUUGAACUUAGUUGUUUUAUUCACCAUCAACACUUGAUGUUCCUUUUUGACUUCUACCUCUGCUGAUUUUAGCGUUGCAAAUACUUCAGGAAUGGUCUUUUCCAUCCCCUGCAUAUUGAAGUUCAUCACAAUGCUCUUGUAGCUCGGUGGAAGCGACUGAAGGAUUCUGUCAAUGACCGCGUCAUCUGGGAAAUUAACUCCCAGCUGAGUCAAGCGGUUAUGCAACCCAGACAUUUUGAGUAUGUGCUCACUGAGAGAACUAUUUUCCUCCAUCUUACAGCUGAAGAACUUGUCGGAGACUUCAUAUCUCUCGACCCGGGCAUGAGCUUGAAAAACCAUUUUCAGCUCUUCGAACAUCUCAGAUGCUCCGUGUCUCUCAAAACGCUUUUGGAGCCCCGGUUCUAAGCUGUAAAGCAUGCCGCACUGAACGAGGGAGUAAUCAUCAGCACGUGUCUGCCAAGAGUUCAUAACGUCUUGGUUCUGUGGGACGGGUGCGUCACCUAGCGAUGCUUCUAGGACAUAAUCUUUCUUGGCAGCUAUGAGGAUGAUCCUCAGGUUCCGGACCCAGUCCAUAUAGUUGCUGCCAUCGUCUUUCAGCUUGGUUUUCUCUAGGAACGCGUUGAAGUUGCGGACAACGUGGGCCAUUUGAUCUACAAGACAUAUUGUAAAGAUUUUAGACUAAGUUCAUGAUAAUUAAGUUCAUCUAAUCAAAUUAUUAAAUGAACUCCCACUCAGAUAGACAUCCCUCCAGUCAUCUAAGUAUAACAUGAUCCGAGUUAACUAGACCGUGUCCGAUCAUCACGUGAGACGGACUAGUCAACAUUGGUGAACAUCUUCAUGUUAAUCGUAUCUUCUAUACGACUCAUGCUCGACCUUUCGGUCUUCUGUGUUCUGAGGCCAUGUCUGUACAUGCUAGGCUCGUCAAGUCAACCUAAGUGUAUUGCGUGUGUAAAUCUUUCUUACACCCGUUGUAUUCAAACGUUAGAAUCUAUCUCACCCGAUCAUCACGUGGUGCUUUGAAACAACGAACCUUCGCAACGGUGCACAGUUAUGGGGAACACUUUCUUGAAAUUAUUAGGAGGGAUCAUCUUAUUUAAGCUAUCGUCGUUCUAAGCAAAUAAGAUGUAAAACAUGAUAAACAUCACAUGCAAUCAAAUAGUGACAUGAUAUGGCCAAUAUCAUUUGCUCCUUUGAUCUCCAUCUUCAGGGCUCCAUGAUCAUCAUUGUCACCGGCAUGACACCAUGAUCUCCAUCAUCAUGAUCUCCAUCAUCGUGUCUUCUUGAAGUUGUCUUGUUAUCUAUUACUUCUACUACUAUGGCUAACGCUUUAGUAAUAAAGUAAAGUAAUUACAUGACGUUUAUGUUGACACGCAGGUCAUAAAUAAAUAAAGACAACUCCUAUGGUUCCUGCCGGUUGUCAUACUCAUCGACAUGCAAGUCGUGAUUCCUAUUACAAGAACAUGAUCAAUCUCAUACAUCACAUAUAUCAUUCAUCAUUCAUCACAACCUUUGGCCAUAUCACAUCACAAAACACUUGCUGCAAAAACAAGUUAGACGUCCUCUAAUUGUUGUUGCAAGUUUUUGCGUGGCUGCUAUAGGUUUCUAGCAAGAACGUUUCUUACCUACGCCAAAACCACAAUGAGAAUUGCCAAUUUCUAUUUACCCUUCAUAAGGACCCUAUUCAUCAAAUCCGAUCCAACUAAAGUGGGAGAGACAGACACCCGCCAGCCACCUUAUGCAACUAGUGCAUGUCAGUCGGUGGAACCGGUCUCACGUAAGCGUACGUGUAAGGUUGGUCUGGGCCACUUCAUCCCACGAUGCCGCCGAAGCAAGAUAAGACUAGUAACGGCAAGCAAAUUGACAAUAUCGACGACCACAACUACUUUGUGUUCUACUCAUCCAUAGUAACUACGCAUAGACCUAGCUCUGAUACCACUGUUGGGGAACGUAGCAGAAUUUUAAAAUUUUCUAUGCAUCACCAAGAUCAAUCUAUGGAGUCAUCUAGCAACGAGGGAGAGAGGAGUGCAUCUACAUACCCUUGUAGAUCACGAGCGGAAGCGUUCAAGAGAACGGGGUUGAUGGAGUCGUACUCGACAUGAUCCAAAUCACCGAAGAUCCUAGUGCCGAACGGACGGCACCUCCACGUUCAACACACGUACGGAGCGAGGACGUCUCCCGCGCCUUGAUCCAGCAAGGAGGAGGGAGAGGUUGAGGAAUAGGGCACCAACAGCAGCACGACGGUGUGGUGGUGAUGAAGUUGCAGUACUCCGGCAGGGCUUCGCCAAGCUCUUAUGGAGGAAAGGUGUUGGGGAGGGGAGGGGCUGCGCCUUGGAUGCUGUAUGCAGCCCUCCCCUCACCCCUUUAUUUAUAGGGGAAAGGGGAAGGGGGCCGGCCCCCUCUAGAUGAGAUCUAGAGGGGGGCGGCGGCCAAGGGGAGGGGGGCUUGCCCCCCAAGCAAGGGGGCGCCCCUCUUAGGGUUUCCCCCAACCCUAGGUGCAUGGGCCCUAGGGGGGUGUGGCGCCCCAGCCCACUUGGGCUGGUUCCCUUCUCCAUACAGCCCAUAAGGCCCUCCGUAAGAGGUGGACCCUCCCGGUGGACCCCCGGAACCCCUCCGGUGGCCCCGGUACAAUACCGAUAUGCCCCCGAAACUUUCCGGCGACCAUAUGACAACUUCCCAUAUAUAAAUCUUUACCUCCGGACCAUUACGGAACUCCUCGUGACGUCCGUGAUCUCAUCCGGGACUCCGAACAACAUUCAGUAAUCACAUACAAGUCUUCCUAACAACCCUAGCAUCACUGAACCUUAAGUGUGUAGACCCUACGGGUUCGGGAGACAUGCAGAUAUGACCGAGACGACUCUCCGGUCAAUAACCAACAGCGGGAUCUGGAUACCCAUGUUGGCUCCCACAUGCUCCACGAUGAUCUCAUCGGAUGAACCAUGAUGUCGAGGAUUCAAUCAAUCCGUAUACAAUUCCCUUUGUCAAUCGGUACGUUACUUGUCCGAGACUCGAUCGUCGGUAUCCCAAUACCUUGUUCAGUCUCGUUACCGGCAAGUCACUUUACUCGUACCGUAAUGCAUGAUCCUGUGAUCAACCACUUGAUCACAUUGAGCUCAUUAUGAUGAUGCAUUACCGAGUGGGCCCAGAGAUACCUCUCCGUCAUACGGAGUGACAAAUCCCAGUCUCGAUUCGUGCCAACCCAACAAACACUUUCGGAGAUACCUGUAAUGUACCUUUAUAGUCACCCAGUUACGUUGUGACGUUUGGCACACCCAAGGCACUCCUACGGUAUCCGGGAGUUGCACAAUCUCAUGGUCUAAGGAAAUGAUACUUGACAUUCAGAAAAGCUACAGCAAACGAACUACACGAUCUUUGAGCUAAGCUUAGGAUUGGGUCUUGUCCAUCACAUCAUUCUCCUAAUGAUGUGAUCCUGUUAUCAAUGACAUCUAAUGUCCAUAGUCAGGAAACCAUGACUAUCCUUUGAUCAACGAGCUAGUCAACUAGAGGCUCACUAGGGACGUGUUGUGGUCUAUUUAUUCACACAUGUAUUACGAUUUCCGGAUAACACAAUUAUAGCAUGAACAAUAGACAAUUAUCAUGAACAAAGAAAUAUAAUAAUAACCAUUUUAUUAUUGCCUCUAGGGCAUAUUUCCAAAUCUUUUGGAAUCACUUGAUUAUGAAUCACUUGGUACUUGCGAACCAUGCCUCAUGGGCAAGAUGACUAAAACGCCGUUCUCCGGAACUAUGGAGCGAGCAACAGAUUUGUUAGAAAUCAUACAUACUGAUAUGUGUUGGCCGAUGAAUAUUGAGGCUCGUGGCGGGUAUCGUUAUUUUCCCAUCUUCACAGAUGAUUUGAGCAGAUAUGGGUAUAUCUAGCUACUUGAUGAAACAUAAGUAUGAAACAUUUGAAAAGUUCAAAGAAUUUUAGAGUGAAGUGGAAAAUCAUUGUAACAAGAAAAUAAAGUUUCUACGAUCUGAUCGUGGAGGAUAAUGUUUGAGUUACGAGUUUGGUCUUCAUUUGAAACAAUGCGGAAUAGUUUCGCAACUCACGCCACCCGGAACACCACAGCGUAAUGGUGUGUCCGAACGCCGUAAUUGUACUAUACUAGAUAUGGUACGAUCUAUGAUGUCUCUUAUUGAUUUAACGCUAUCAUUUCGGGGUUAUGCUUUAGAGAUGGCUGCAUUCACGUUAAAUAGGGCACCAUCUAAAUCCAUUGAGACAACACCUUAUGAACUGUGGUUUGACAAGAAACCAAAGUUGUCAUUUCUUAAAGUUUGGGGCUGUGAUGCUUAUGUGAAAAAGCUUCAACCUGAUAAGCUCGAACCCAAAUCGGAGAAAUGUGUCUUCAUAGGAUACCCAAAGGAGACUGUUGGGUACACCUUCUAUCACAGAUCCGAAGGCAAGACAUUCGUUGCUAAGAAUGGAUCCUUUCUAGAGAAGGAGUUUCUCUCGAAAGAAGUGAGUGGGAGGAAAGUAGAACUUGAUGAGGUAAUUGUAUCUGCUCCCUUAUUGGAAAGUAGUUCAUCACAGAAAUCUGUUCCUGUGACUCCUACACCAAUUAGUGAGAAGCUAAUUAUGAAGAUCAUGUAAAUUCAGAUGAACUUACUACCGAACCUCGUAGGUUAACCAGAGUAAGAUCCGCACCAGAGUGGUACAGUAAUCCAGUUCUGGGGGUCAUGUUACUUGACCAUGACGAACCUACGAACUAUGAGGAAGCGAUGAUGAGCCCAGAUUCCGCAAAAUGGCUUGAGGCCAUGAAAUCUAAGAUGGGAUCCAUGUAUGAGAACAAAGUGUAGACUUUGGUUGACUUGCCUGAUGAUCGGCAAGCCAUCGAGAAUAAAUGGAUCUUCAAUAAGAAGCCUGACGCUGACGGUAAUGUUACUGUCUACAAAGCUCGACUUCAUUACCAGAUUGUGUUUCAGCAUCAGAAAUAGAAAUAUCAUUUGGAUUCUCAGGUGUUUCAGUAAUAGGUUCACUAGAAGCAUGCAAAGUCCUAUCAUUUUUCUUUUUCUUCCUUUUAGAAGGACUAGGUGCAUCUAUAUUAUUUCUCUGAGAAUCUUGCUCAAUUCUCUUAGGGUGGCCUUCAGAUGCAGAGAUUCCUGAGUCAUUCUACCAGUUCUAGUAGCCACUCUAACAGCAUAAUCAUUAUUCUUACUAUUCAAUUCAUUGUGCAAAUCAUUUUGAGCUUUAAGUACUUGUUCUACUUGAGUGGUAACCAUAGAAGCAUGUUUAAUAAUAAGUUUAAGUUCACCUUUGACAUUAGCCAUAUAAUCACCCAAGUGUUCAAGCAUAUUUGAAUUGUAUUUCAAUUGUCUACCAAAAUAAGCAUUAAAAUCUUCUUGCUUCACCAUAAAAUUAUCAAACUCAUCUAAGCAUUGGCUAGCAAACUUAGUAAGACGGAUUUUAGCUUUAUCAUAUCUAUAGAGAGAAUUUACCUUUACUACCUGUGUCGGGUUAUCAAGACCAUGUAUUUCUUCAAUAGGUAAUAUAUUAAGAUCAUAUGUUUCUUCAACAUGCGGUAAAUUAAGACCGUGUAUUUCUUCAAUAGGAGGUAAAUUCUUAACAUCUUCAUCUUUAAUACCUUUUUCUUUCAAAGAUUUCUUUUCCUCUUGCAUAUCUUCAGGACUGAGAAAUAGAACACCUCUUUUCUUCGGAGUUGGUUUAUGAAUAGGCUCAGGCAGUGUCCAAUUAUUUUCAUUUGUCAACAUAUUAUUCAAUAGAAUUUCAUCUUCAUCCGAUGUUCUUUCCCUAAAAACAGAACCAGCACAACUAUCCAGGUAAUCUCUGGAAGCAUCGGUUAGUCCAUUAUAAAAGAUAUCAAGUAUUUCAUUUUUCUUAAGAGGAUGAUCAGGCAAAGCAUUAAGUAACUUGAGAAGCCUCCCCCAAGCUUGUGGGAGACUCUCUUCUUCACUUUGCACAAAAUUAUAUAUAUCCCUCAAAGCAGCUUGUUUCUUAUGAGUAGGGAAAUAGCUAGCAGAGAAGUAAUAAAUCAUAUCCUGGGGACUACGCACACAACCAGGAUCAAGAGAAUUAAACCAUAUCUUAGCAUCACCCUUUAAUGAGAAUGGAAAUAUUUUAAUGAUAUAAAGGUAGCGCGAUUUCUCAUCAUUAUUGAACAGGGUGGUAUUAUUUAAUUUAGUAAGAUGUGCCACAACAGUUUCAGAUUUAUAGCCAUGAAAAGGAUCAGAUUCAACCAAAGUAAUUAUAUCAGGAUCAAUAGAGAAUUCAUAAUGCUUAUCAGUAACACAGAUAGGUGAAGUAGCAAAAGCAGGGUCAGGUUUCAUUCUAGCAUUAAGAGAUUGCUGCUUCCAUUUAGCUAAUAACCUCUUGAGCUCGUAUCUAUGUUUCCAAGCUAAAAUAGCUAAAGCAGCUUCCUUUUCAGAAACAUAACCCUCAGGAAUAACAGGUGAUUCAUAUUUAUUAGGGGAGAGUCUUCAUCAUCACUUUCAUCAAUGUUAUCAGUUUCAAUAAUUUCAUUCUCUCUAACCCUAGCAAGUUGUUCAUCAAGAAAUUCACCAAGUGGCACAGUAGUAUCAAGCAUAGAAGUAGUUUCAUCAUAAGUAUCAUGCAGAGCAGAAGUGGCAUCAUCAAUAACAUGUGACAUAUCAGAACGAAUAGCAGAAGCAGGUUUAGGUGUUGCAAGCUUACUCAAAACAGAAGGUGAAUCGAGUGCAGAGCUAGAUGGUAGUUCCUUACCUCCCCUCGUAGUUGAGGGAUAAAUCUUGGUUUUUGGAUCUCUCAAGUUCUUCAUAAUGAUAGGCAAAUAUAAAUCCCAUGUGACUCAAAUAAUAGAGCUAUGCUCCCGGCAACGGCGUCAGAAAAUAGUCUUGACAACCCACAAGUAUAGGGGAUUGCAACAGUUUUCGAGGGUAGAGUAUUCAACCCAAAUUUAUUGAUUCGACACAAGGGGAGGCAAAGAAUAUUAUCAAGUAUUAGUAGCUGAGUUGUCAAUUCAACCACACCUGGAAACUUAAUAUCUGUAGCAAAGUGUUUAGUAGCAAAGUAAUAUGAUAGUAGUGGUAACGAUAGCAAAAGGUAAUGGUAGCAAAAGUACUGUUUUGGUACUUUGUAGUGAUGAUAGCAAUAGCAACGGAAAAGUAAAUAGGCGAAGAACAAUAUAUGAAAAGCUCGUAGGCAAUGGAUCGGUGAUAGAGAAUUAUGCCGAAUGCAGUUCAUCAUGUAACAGUCAUAACCUAGGGUGACACAGAACUAGCUCCAAUUCAUCAAUGUAAUAUAGGCAUGUAUUCCGAAUAUAGUCAUACGUGCUUAUGGAAAAGAACUUGCAUGACAUCUUUUGUCCUAUCCUCCCGUGGCAGGGGGGUCCUAAUGGAAACUAAGGGAUAUUAAGGCAUCCUUUUAAUAGAGUAGCGGACCAAAGCAUUAACACAUAGUGAAUACAUGAACUCCUCAAACUACGGUCAUCACCGGGAGUGGUCCCAAUUAUUGUCACUUCGGGGUUGCUGGAUCAUAACACAUAGUAGGUGACUAUAGACUUGCAAGAUAGGAUCAAGAACUCAAAUAUAUUCAUGAAAACAUAAUAGGUUCAGAUCUGAAAUCAUGGCACUCGGGCCCUAGUGACAAGCAUUAAGCAUAGCAAAGUCAUAGCAACAUCAAUCUCAGAACAUAGUGGAUACUAGGGAUCAAACCCUAACAAAACUAACUCGAUUACAUGAUAAAUCUCAUCCAACCCAUCACCGUCCAGCAAGCCUACAACGGAAUUACUCACGCACGGCAGUGAGCAGCAUGAAAUUGGUGAUGGAGGAUGGUUGAUGAUGACGAUGGCGACGGAUUCCCCUCUCUGGAGCCCCGAACGGACUCCAGAUCAGCCCUCCCGAGAGGUUUUACGGCUUGGCGGCGGCUCCGUAUCGUAAAACGCGUUGAAUCCUUCUCUCUUAUUUGUUCUCCCGAAAGCAAAUAUAUAGAGUUGGAGUUGAGGUCGGAGGAGCUCCAGGGGGCCCAUGAGGUAGGGGGCGCGACGUGGGGGCAGACGCGCCCCCACCCUCGUGGCUAGGGUGUGGGCCCCCUGUUCUUCAUCUUUUGCAAGGAUUUUUUAUUAUUUCCAAAAAUACGUUCCGUGAAGUUUCAGGUUAUUCCGAGAACUUCUAUUUCUGCACAUAAAUAACACCAUGGUAAUUCUGCUGAAAACAGCGUCAGUCCGGGUUAGUUUCAUUCAAAUCAUGCAAGUUAGAGUCCAAAACAAGGGCAAAAGUGUUUGGAAAAGUAGAUACGACGGAGACGUAUCAACUCCCCCAAGCUUAAACCUUUGCUUGUCCUCAAGCAAUUCAGUUGAUAAACUGAAAGUGAUAAAGAAAUUUUUUUACAAACUCUGUUUGCUCUUGUUGUUGUAAAUAUGUAAAGUCAACAUUCAAGUUUUCAGCAAAGAUUAUUAACUAACCAUAUUCACAAUAACGCAUAGGUCUCAUGUUUACUCAUAUCAAUGGCAUAAUCAACUAGCGAGCAAUAAUAAUAAAUCUCAGAUGACAACACUUUCUCAAAACAAUCAUAAUAUGAUAUAAUAAGAUGGUAUCUCGCUAGCCCUUUCUGAGACCGCAAAACAUAAAUGCAGAGCACCUUUAAAGAUCAAGGACUGACUAGACAUUGUAAUUCAUGGUAAAAGAGAUCCAGUCAAGUCAUACUCAAUGUAAACUAAUAGUAAUGAAUGCAAAUGACAGCGGUGCUCUCCAACUGGUGCUUUUUAAUAAGAGGAUGAUGACUCAACAUAAAAGUAAAUAGAUAGGCCCUUCGCAGAGGGAAGCAGAGAUUUGUAGAGGUGCCAGAGCUCGGUUUUGAAACAGAGGUGAAUAAUAUUUUGAGCGGUAAACUUUCAUUGUCAACAUAACAACCAAGAGAUGGCGAUAUCUUCCAUGCUACAAACAUUAUGGGCGGUUCCCAAAUAGAAUGGUAAAGUUUAUACUCCCCCUCCACCAACAAGCAUCAAUCCAUGGCUUGCUCGAAACAACGAGUGCCUCCAACUAACAAGAGUCCCAGGUGGAGUUUUGUUUGCAAUUAUUUUGAUUUAGUUUGCAUAAAGCAUGGGACUGGGCAUCCCGAUGACCAGCCAUUUUCUUGUGAGUGAGGAGCAGAGUCCACUCCUCUUGAGAAUAACCCGCCUAACAUGGAAGAUCCGGACAUCCCUAGUUGAUACAUGAGCUAUUCGAGCAUACAAAACAGGAUAUUUAUUUGAAGGUUUGGAGUUUGGCACAUACAAAUUUACUUGGAACAGCGGGUAGAUACCGUAUAUAGGUAGGUAUGGUGGACUCAUAUGGAAUAACUUUGGGGUUUAUGGAGUUGGAUGCACAAGCAGUAUUCCCGCUUAGUACAGGUGAAGGCUAGAAAAAGACUGGGAAGCGACCAGCUAGAGAGCGACAACAGUCAUGAACAUGCAUUAAAAUUAAUCAACACCUAAUGCAAGAAUGAGUAGGAUAUAAUCCACCAUGAACAUAAAUAUCAUGAAGGCUAUGUUGAUUUUGUUUCAACUACAUGCGUGAACAUGUGCCAAUUCAAGUCACUUAAAUCAUUUAGAGGAGGAUACCACCCUAUCAUACCACAUCACAACCAUUUUAAUAGCAUGUAGGCACGCAAGGUAAACCAAUAUAAGCUCCUAGCUAAUCAAGCAUGUCACAAGAAACUAUGAUCUCUAGUUGUCACUGCAAUCAUGUUUAUUCAUAAUAGGCUGAAUCGGGAACGAUGAACUAAUCAUAUUUACAAAAACAAGAGAGGUCGAGUUCAUACCAGCUUUUCUAAUCUCAGUCAGUCCGUCAUAUAUCGUCAUAAUUGCCUUUCACUUGCACGAUCGAAUGUUGUGAAUAAUAAUAAUAAUAAUAAUAAUAAUAAUAAUAAUAAUAAUAAUAAUAAUAAUAAUAAUAAUAAUAAUAAUAAUAAUAAUAGUGCACAUGCAUUGGACUAAGCAGGAAUCUGCAAGCAUUCAAUAAAUAGGAGAAGACAAGGCAAUAUGGGCUCUUUUGUCAGAUCAACAAUAAUGCAUAUAAGAGCCACUUCAACAAUUUAAUCAUGGUCUUCUCCUUUCGACCCCCAAAGAAAAGAAAAGAAAUAAAACUAUUUACACGGGAAAGCUCCCAACAAGCAAAAGAAGAAAAGGAAAUAUUUUUGGGUUUUCUUUUUAAUUACUACUACAAGCAUGGAAAUUAAAACUAGCUAACUAAUUUUUUGGUUUUUCUUAAGGUUUAUUAAACACACAAGAAGAAAGCAUAAAAAGAGAAAAUAAACUAGCAUGGAUAUUACAAUGAAAAAGUAUGAGCACCGACAUCUAGCAAUGAGUGUGUGAACAUGAAUAUAAUGUCGGUGAGAAAUGCAUACUCCCCCAAGCUUAGGCUUUUGUCCUAAGUUGAUCUAUGGCCACGGUUGGCCUGGCGGAUAUCCAUAGUUGUAGCUGGGGUCGUACUGCGAUGCAGCGGCUAUUGCCUCCUGAGAUGCAGCAUGGUGGCAAGCUGCCUCCGCCCUCCUCUCGUACUCAUCUGCCUCCUCUCUGGUAAUAAAAUGUCUUCCUUUUGCCUGAUAAACAAAGAAGGUAGGAGCAGGGAGAGUAAUACGGACAGCACGACAUCUGUCAAAGAUUAAGCGAUACUGGAGAGGUGAUUCAUUCCUCUCGACAAACUGGUGGUGAACCAUAGCAUUAAAGUCUAGGUAAGCAGGAGGUAAUUCAAUAUCAUCAUUACGUAUAGUUACACCAAGAAAAUCAGCUAAGCGGGUUGCAUAAAUUCCACCAAAGAAAUCUCCAUUAAAUCUAUUAAGAUGCAACCUACGUGCUACAAUGGCUCCCAAAUUAUAAGAUUUAUCUCCUAACACUGCACUCCUAAGAAUACUAAGCUAAGGGACACACAUGUGACAUGCCUCAUCUUUACCAUCAAUUCAUCUACCUAUGAAGAGAGCAAAAUAAUGUAUAGCAGGAAAGUGAAUGCUCCCUAUGGUAGCUUGUAUUAUAUCUCUAGAUUCCCCCACAGUUAUACUAGCAAGAAAAUUUCUAAAUUCAGAUUUGCGAGGUUCCCUGACACUACCCCAUUGUGGAAGUUUGCAAGCAGUGGUAAAAUCCUCUAAGUCCAUAGUGUAAGAAUUUUCAUAAAGAUCAAACAGAACAGUUUGAGAAUUACAUGAAGAUGAAAAUUCAAACCUCCUCACAAAGGAACUAGUGAGAUAGUGGUACUGACGGCAUUAUUCUUCCUCGAAGCUCACAAGAUCAGCAUUACACAAAUAUACGUUAAAUUCUUCCUUAAUCCCCGCUCGAUCCAUGAAGUCCUCUGAAGGCCAUUCACAGGGCCGCACUAGAGCGUCCCUUGGUGGCUCAUCAUCAGCAUCACGCAUUGCAAGCUUGGGCUCUUGUGUCCUUGAAGAGACACCUUGGUACAUUUUCCUAAACAUAUUUCUUCCUCUGAAAAAAUUCUGAAAUUUUUAAUAACUUCAAAUAAAAGUGAGCCAAGCUCAACAAAAUUGAUAGCAACAACUCCUACAAGUGCCUAGAGCCUAUAUCAUGCAUUAGAACUACUUGGGACCAUAUAAAUUUGACAUGCAAGCUCAAGAACAGGGUCACCUAGGCAGCACAAAUUUGCAAUGAAUAAAGCACUAGAACAAAAACUAAUUGGACCAAUGGAGGAGUCACAUACCAAGGAACAAUCCCCCCAAGCAGUUUUGUGAGAGGUGCUUUGAGCAAGGAGAUCGAAAGUGGCAGCAAAUGAGCUUGGACUCGGCUUUGAACUGGAUAAUCGUGUUUGUGGGAGGAAGAAUGAGUGUGUGGGUGUAUGAAUAAGUGGAGGAGGGCCACCAUGGGCCCACGAGGCAGGGGACGCACCCAGGGUGGUAGGGCGCGCCCUCCACCCUCGUGGCCAGGUGGAUGCCCCUCCUGCUGUGUUCUCAGUGCCAAAUAUUCUCAAAUAUUCCAGAAAAAAUCAUAUUUAAAUUUCAGGGCAUUUGGAGAACUUUUAUUUUCGGAGUAUUUUUAUAUUGCACGGAUAAUUCAGAUAAUAGACAGAAAAAUAUUAUUUUUAUUUUAUUUAAUAUAAAUAACAGAAAGUAAAAGGAGGGUAUAGAAGGUUGUGCCUUCUAGUUUCAUCCAUCUCAUGCUCAUCAAAAGGAAUCCACUAACAAGGUUGAUCAAGUCUUGUUAACGAACUCAUUCCGAAUAACAUGGAACCGGAGAAAUUUCGAAUAACACUAUGUUAUCUCAACGGGGAUAUGCACAUCCCCAAUAAUAAGAAUAUCAUAUUUCUUCUUGACAGUAGGAAGAGGAAAUUCAAAACCUCUGAAUAUAAUCGAUGGAAUUUUUCCAAUAGAGUUGAUACUAUGAACUUGAGGUUGUUUCCUCGGAAAGUGUACCGUAUGCUCAUUACCAUUAACAUGAAAAGUGACAUUGCCUUUAGUGCAAUCAAUAACAGCCCCUGCAGUAUUCAAAAAGGGUCUUCCAAGAAUAAUAGACAUACUAUCAUCCUCAGGAAUAUCAAGAAUAACAAAGUCCGUUAAAAUAGUAACGUUUGCAACUACAACAGGCACAUCCUCACAAAUACCGAUAGGUAUAGCAGUUGAUUUAUCAGUCAUUUGCAAAGAUAUUUCAGUAGGUGUCAACUUAUUCAAAUAAAGUCUAGGAUAUAAAGAGAGAGGCAUAACACUAACACCGGCUCCAUGAUCACAUAAAGCAGUCUUAACAUAAUUUCUUUUAAUGGAGCAUGGUAUAGUUGGUACUCCGGGAUCUCCUAGUUUCUUAGGUAUUCUACCUUUAAAAGUAUAAUUAGCAAGCAUGGUGGAAAUUUCAGCUUCCGGUAUCUUUAUUUUAUUAGUAACAAUAUCUUUCAUGCACUUAGCAUAAGGAUUCAUUUUAAGCAUAUCAGUUAAUCGCAUACGCAAAAAGAUAGGUCUAAUCAUUUCAGCAAAGCGCUCAAAAUCCUCAUCAUCCUUUUUCUUGGAUGGUUUGGGAGGAAAAGGCAUGGGUUUCUGAACCCAUGGCUCUCUUUUUUUACCAUGUUUCCUAGCAACAAAGUCUCUCUUAUCAUAAAAUUGAUUCUUUGAUUGUGGAUUAUCAAGAUCAACAAUAGGUUCAAUUUCUAUAUCAUUAUCAUUGCUAGGUUGAGCAUCAACAUGAACAUUAUCAUUAACAUUAUCACUAGUUUCAGGUUCAUUACCAGAUUGUGUUUCAGCAUCAUAAAUAGAAAUAUCAUUUGGAUUCUCAGGUGUUUCAGUAAUAGGUUCACUAGAAGCAUGCAAAGUCCUAUCAUUUUUCUUUUUCUUCCUUUUAGAAGGACUAGGUGCAUCUAUAUUAUUUCUCUGAGAAUCUUGCUCAAGUCUCUUAGGAUGGCCUUCAGGAUACAGAGGUUCCUGAGUCAUUCUACCAGUUCUAGUAACCACUCUAACAGCAUAAUCAUUAUUCUUACUAUUCAAUUCAUUGAGCAAAUCAUUUUGAGCUUUAAGUACUUGUUCUACUUGAGUGGUAACCAUACAAGCAUGUUUACUAAUAAGUUUAAGUUCACCUUUGACAUUAGCCAUAUAAUCACCCAAGUGUUCAAGCAUAUUUGAAUUGUAUUUCAAUUGUCUACCAAAAUAAGUAUUAAAAUCUUCUUGCUUCACCAUAAAAUUAUCAAACUCAUCUAAGCAUUGGCUAGCAAACUUAGUAAGAGGGAUUUCAGCUUUAUCAUAUCUAUAGAGAGAAUUUACCUUUACUACCCGUGUCGGGUUAUCAAGACCAUGUAUUUCUUCAAUAGGUAAUAUAUUAAGAUCAUAUGCUUCUUCAACAGGCGGUAAAUUAAGACCGUGUAUUUCUUCAAUAGGAGGUAAAUUCUUAACAUCUUCAGCUUUAAUACCUUUUUCUUUCAAAGAUUUAUUUUCCUCUUGCAUAUCUUCAGGACUGAGAAAUAGAACACCUCUUUUCUUCGGAGUUGGUUUAGGAAUAGGCUCAGGAAGUGUCCAAUUAUUUUCAUUUGUCAACAUAUUAUUCAAUAGAAUUUCAGCUUCAUCCAGUGUUCUUUCCCUUAAAACAGAACCAACACAACUAUCCAGGUAAUCUCUGGAAGCAUCAGUUAGUCCAUUAUAAAAUAUAUCAAGUAUUUCAUUUUUCUUAAGAGGAUGAUCAGGCAAAGCAUUAAGUAACUUGAGAAGCCUCCCCCAAGCUUGUGGGAGACUCUCUUCUUCACUUUUCACAAAAUUAUAUAUAUCCCUCAAAGCAGCUUGUUUCUUAUGAGCAGGGAAAUAUUUAGCAGAGAAGUAAUAAAUCAUAUCCUGGGGACUAUGCACACAACCAGGAUCAAGAGAAUUAAACCAUAUCUUAGCAUCACCCUUUAAUGAGAAUGGAAAUAUUUUAAUGAUAUAAAGGUAGCGAGAUUUCUCAUCAUUAGUGAACAGGGUGGCUAUAUCAUUUAAUUUAGUAAGAUGUGCCACAACAGUUUCAGAUUCAUAGCCAUGAAAAGGAUUAGAUUCAACUAAAGUAAAUAUAUCAGGAUCAACAGAGAAUUCAUAAUCCUUAUCAAUAACACAGAUAGGUGAAGUAGCAAAAGCAGGGUCAGGUUUCAUUCUAGAAUUAAGAGAUUGCUGCUUCCAUUUAGCUAAUAACCUCUUGAGCUCGUAUCUAUCCUUGCAAGCUAAAAUAGCUAAAGCAGCUUCCUUUUCAAAAACAUAACCCUCAGGAAUAACAGGUGAUUCAUAUUUAUUAGGGGGAGAGUCUGCAUCAUCACUUUCAUCAAUGUUAUCAGUUUCAAUAAUUUCAUUCUCUCUAACCCUAGCAAGUUGUUCAUCAAGAAAUUCACCAAGUAGCACAGUAGUAUCAAGCAUAGAAGUAGUUUCAUCAUAAGUAUCAUGCAUAGCAGAAGUGGCAUCAUCAAUAACAUGCGACAUAUCAGAACGAAUACCAAAAGCAGGUUUAGGUGUUGUCAUGGAAUUGUCACGGCAGAUGUCCUAAAGCAAGGACUUAGUCGUAGGGCCAUCGCACUAGGAAGCUUAAAGGGGUUAAUCGGGACAAAGGACACGAGAGAGUUUUAUACUAGUUCGGCCCCUUACGAUGAAGGUAAAAGCCUACGUCUAGUUGGGCUUGGUAUUGCUGGGGUUUCGUUCACCAAGAGGCUUAACUCGCCGGCUUGGUUAUCGACUUGUUGUUUCUUGCCCUAAACCGCCACCGGGUCGUCCCCUUAUAUACAUGGGUUGACUUCUGGUGGCUUACAGAGUCCCGGCCGGCUCAUAAUCGUGUCCGGCUCGGUGACUUCUUCUACAUGCCUUUCUUUACAAGUCUUUCCAUUCCUAUAGCGGUUUACAAUAACGGGCUUUUAAGCCGGCCCGAGGCCUUUGGGAUUUCUACAUAUACCAAUAAACUAUCAUCUUGACUGUAUAUUGGGCUUCUUAUGUAACCCGCCAUUAAGGCUGACCCGGCCCCUCCUGGGCGGGUCUCAGCUGAUAAUAAUAUCACCAACAUUAGGCCCCAGGUUAACUUUGAACUUUGUUCUUUGUCAAUCUUCAAUACUUACACAAAAUCCAUCCUCUAUCUAAAAAUUUCCUUAACCCGUCGUGACAUCAUCUUUCUGAAACACAAAAAACUUUUAUGACGUCAUCUUUUAACGGAUCUUUCAUUUUUAAUGUCUUCCGGGAAUCGAGGCGUUUGUUCAGUUGGAUAAUCAUUAUUUAGUCUCUUGAUUUUCGCGCCCGCCUGUUCGCACACUCCCUUAUAAAUAGGCACGACCUAGGUUUUUUCCGUUCUCCCCCUUCGAUCGUCUUCUUCCUCUCACUGCUUCUCUGCUGCUCGAGCUCCGCCGCCGCCGCAGAUCUUGUCUUCAUCGACUCAGGCCGCCGCAUCAACCUAAUUAGAUCCGAAGAGACCGCAAUAAACCUUCGCUGCAACUCUGCAUCUGUAAGUCCCUUUCUUCUCGACAUCAGAUCCGCAUUAGAACCUUCGAGUUCCUUGGUGUUCUUUAUUGUUCUUCAUGAACUCAUUGUAGAUUUCAUCACCAUCGCCCUUUCUUGAUCUUUGGAUAGUAUAAAACUGAUGCGGCAGCUAUUUCGCCCCUACUUCAAAUGCCAACAAAUUAUUUUCCCUGUUCAGAGGCCUUGUUUAGCACUGACGAACUCAUCUGUGCCAGUUUUAGGUCUAGAUUUAUUUUCAUUUUUGGAACCAUCUUGAUCCAAAAUAAUAAUAACAACUUGUGAAACUUGUUUAUAUCAACACUUCACUGAAUUCUGUCUUCUGAGAAAAUCUGUAGUCAUGGCGGCUUACCACUCCGACUUUUCUUUUCCUUAUAUACCAUUAGCCCUUAGUUAAACCGCCAUUACUUGCUUUAUAAUCGACCGUAGAUUGAACCGGCAUAUUGUUACUUAUUUUUCAGUGUGUUGCACAUCAUGCCAUCGAAGUCACCGACCAUCUGUAACUGGGUCCCUUCUUUCGUAACUGAAGAACGGUUAAAAGAGUUCUGCAUCAUUGGGUUUCUUCCUUCAAAGAAUGUCAUGUCUUAUCAUGCUCCUGACCCGGAGGAAGAAUGUCCCAAUCCGAAAGAUGGAGAAGGAAUUAUCUUUACUGACCACAUGAACCGGGGAUUUUCACCACUUGGUUCAAAAUUCUUCAGAGAGGUCCUUCAUUUUUUCAAACUCCAUCCUCAGGACCUUGGACCCAACUCUAUUUCCAAUAUUUGUAACUUCCAAGUGCUCUGUGAGGCAUAUCUUCAUCAAGAGCCCACCGUAGAAUUGUUUAGAGAAUACUUUUAUCUGAAUCGCCAGAAUGAAUGCACCAACGGUUCUAGCUUAGAACUUGGAGGCAUCUUGAUUCAACAUCGGCAGGGUGCUAUUUUUCCACUCAUCGUCUUACCGAGCCACCCAAAAGAUUGGAACCAAACUUGGUUUUAUUGUCAGGAUACUUCUCCAGCGAACAAGAAGCCCCUACCGGGUUACCGCCCUAGCCGUCUUGAUUCCAAGUUUACCCUUCCAUAUAAGCUUACCGUCGUUGAGCGUAGGAAGCUUCUUCCCUCCAUUAGAAGAAUCAAUGGCUUAUUGGGUAAUGGUCUAACCAGAGUAGAUCUGACCCGUUACUGGAUCUCAUGGCGGGUUAUCCCAUUAAGUCGUCGAUCUCAACUGAUGUAUGAAUAUGACGGAAGUUCGGACCAUCCUCUUCGUCACGGCUCAGUUGAACUCACCGAAGAAGACAUUGUUUCGAUGUCAACCCUUUUGGUAAACGGGAAGUACGAAGAUUGCAGUAUUGUUGGGUUAAGUCCCUUCUGUAAGAUUAAUCCGGUGCCAGAAGUAAGUACAUUCUAAUAUCUUUUUCUUUGUGUUUUGCCCAGCUAUUAGUACUUAAUACUGAUCUUUCUUCUUGUUUUUACAGGCCAAUUCUGACUUCUGGAAGGUGAAAUAUGAUCAUGAAGCUGCCAAAAAGGCAAAACUCGCUGCCAUGAACACCAAGAAAACAGCCCGGAAAUCCAAGAAGAAGAAGAAGACAACCACUGCUGAAGAUUUAAUGAAGCUUGACGACUCGUCUGACUCGGAGGUAGCCCUUGACUCCCUUGGCCAAUUUUUUAACACUCUUAUUGACACUGAUCCUUACCAGGAUGACACUGGGGCCAGUCAGGCUGAGGAAGUAGAGGUAACUAUCAUUUCCUCUGACUCAGAGCCCUUACUGAGACACAAAGUUCAUCGAGUGAUCCGUAAAGUAAGGUUUUCUAACCCUUUAGCUCAUUUGGAUCCCAACUUUCAUUUGAAAAAGCAGCAACAUGAAAGCCGCCGUGAAGUUGGAACUGAGGAUGAACCGGCUGUUACCCUUCAACAGACCCCUCAGAAACGCCCGAACGAGGUUUAAUUAUUACUGUCUUUAACCCGUUGUAAUGAAUCCUGCUCCUUACAUUUCUUUUAACUCUUUCCUUUAUCUUUUCAGGAGGUGCCUCGUUCUUCGGAUGACUCAUCACAAACACAAUUUCCGGCUUUCAAGACUGCUCCUCGGUAAUUAAAAACCCUCUUUUCUUCCGAGUUUGAUCAAUUGUUAUCUUAAUACUGAUUAUCCUGCAAUAUUUUUCUUCAGUGGCCAAGCUAAGUCCAAGAAAGCGAAGGCAACAAAACCAAUGGAAGACCCGCCAGUACUGGCAUCUGAGCUGGCUAGGCCACCUUCUCCGUUGACUGUCGCCCCGGAAGACACGCCUAUCGUUCAUGAAGCAAAUCCUCCAGAGCCAUCCCUUGUCAAAAACACUAUUAACCCUUCUACAGCUGGUCCAUCAAGCUCAACCGGCCCACCGUCUCCCCGUGUUCAAGAUGUUCAAAUUACUAGGAGCCGCUAUGUUGAGCCGGGGAACCCGACGGUUUUGGCACGGUGCACCGCUAAGCAAGAAGCUUUGGAGAGGCGGAAGGUUCGUCUUGAUGUUGCCAAUUAUGACCAUCUUAACGCCAGUGAUAUCUUAUCCGGUUAUCUCAGUCAUGUACACUCCAGUCGUGAUUCUGAGAUUGAGAUGGUCAAGCAGCUUCAAUUGAAGUAUGAGGUAUGUAAUUUCUAGUUUAUCAAUAUUCCUUCAGCCCCCAAGUCUGUAGAUUAUGAGAGAAACAGAAUAACCUAUAGACUUAUAAUAUAUACUGAUACUUUUACCUCUGAGUCUUUGCUUGAUAUUGGUAGAACAAGACUUCACCCGUAGUCCCCAAAGACUGGUUUAUUUAAUCAUUACUGAAUCGGUACUUCAGAAUUGAGCACCAUCUGUAAAAUACUUAAUAUCCCGGUUUAAACUUGAAAAACUUGCUGAACUGCGUGCAUUAGCCCCCAAGUGCCAAGUGCUAUUACUUUUGUAAAGGACAUGGGACUUCAAAUAUGUUGGUAGAGUCAUAAAAAUUUGAUUUCACAUACAUUAGCCCCCAAGUGUCAAGUGGUUUAUUCAUAAAGUAUUUGAGACUUGAAUAUUUGAAAUUGGAUACUGGAAUUUGAAGCCAAGUCUUGAUUUAUGUGAAUGUUUUCACAGAAUGCAUUGUCUGAACUGAACUCCCAACUAACUGAUACAAAGACCCGGCUGGCGAACCAGAAAUUAAAUCUUCCACCUCCCAACUGCAAAUAAGUCUUUCUAAAACGGAGAAACUGAAGACUGACUUUGCUGUCAAAGAGAAAACUUGGGCAGAUGAGAAGAUACUGCUGACCCGGAGAGCUGAGACAGCCGAAACAGCUCUGACGGAAAUUUCAACCGAACUGAACAGUUUAAAAGGCCGGGUGUCUCAGAUGGUCGCUGCUAUCUUUGGUAAGCUUCCUGAUUUGAUCUUUCAUAUGUGUUUCCUGUCAAGCCGAAAUAUGACCCGUUAACUGACUUCGUGAAAAAUGCGUGUAGGUCCGCGAAGUAAGAAUCUAGACCAAGACCUGUUGAUUAAGAUGAAAGCCGUAUACACUUUAACUGCACAAUUGUAUAUCGGCGCACAACGAGCUCUGGCAGCCAUCUCUCCUGCUAAUCAAGGGUCUAACCGGAUCAGUGACGUCCUGAAGAGGUUGUCCAUUCUCCCUGCCAGAUUCCAAGAGGUGAAACGCUCCUGCGCACGAGCCGGAGCUUUGACUGCCCUAAGCCACUCCAAGGCUUGGGUACCAGAUCUAGACCCGUCAGACGUGGCAAGGGGUUAUCCUACCAUGAAGGAGGACGAGUCUCCUUUUGAUCAGGAUGACUUUAUAGCCUGCGUUCGUGAAGUCCGGCCUUAGGCGACUAGCCUUGGAGAUGACAGCAAUGUGGACAAGUAUCAACCGGAUUUUGACAGUGAAAAUAAGAAGAUGGCUCCUCCUUCCUAUAAAGUAACCGACUUGAUCCCGCCGGUGAGAGAAGACACAUUUGCCCCGGAGGUUGAUCCGGUCGGCCUGAUUGAUGAUGAAGCUGAAUUUGUCGCCAUGAACGACUAUGACUGGUCAAAGCCCAACUUCCAGCAGAUUCAAGAUGUUGAGCCAGUGAGCGAAGGACAAUGAUCAUCUUCAUGGGCUUUAGAAAGCCUUGUAAUAGCUUUAGCUAUUAAAAACACCACAUGUCUGCUUAUGCCAUCGCGCAUGAAACACUUCUAUGUGAAUCUAUGCUUCUGGGUGCCUCGUUUAAUGCUUGUCUUUGCAAUGUUUAAACUCUGUUCCUGUGAACACAAGGAAAAAGCUUGGCAAGGCGGUUUAAAACCAACUGGGCUUAAACACCUCAAAAAACAGAGACAAAUAUAAAUAAAGGAUAAGGCUUAAUACCAACUCUGAAUUUAACGCAGCCGAUAAGCGCGUGUAAGUAAAAACCAUACAUUAUCCUUGGUGAUCCUUAGAUCGCUGGUUUAAAUAACCCGUGUGAUGAAUUUGAGAAUUUCAAUAUAAAAGUUAAGACUUCUUGAACAGUCAAUAAUUAUCAUAUCUCAGUAGCUCGUACCUUCGGAUCCUUAGACCACCGGCCUGGAUAACCCGGGCGGCUGUGUUGUCCAAUAAUUGAGCCGGCGAAGAGAAACAGGCCAUCUCAUUUGUAAUAUUGAAACAACAAAAACUCAAAGGCAAGCAACAGAUAACAAACAUAAUUUUAACUCUGUAUUUCAAAGAUUGGGGGUUUCUGAUUCGAAUACGAUCAAUAAACCGGACCAAAGGGGUUAAGCUAAGGUUCGAAUACGACCAUAUAGCCCCUAGUGGCUUUGGCCUUGCGCCGAUCAAGAGGGUACCGGCAGCUAUGUUCUCUUUGGUUCGAAUACGACCUAUGUUUGAACAGGAAGCCCCCAAAUGACCUUGAGAGGUUUUUAACGACCCUGAUUCGAAUACGAUCGAAGUUGGCUCAAAAGGGGUUAAGCUAUGAUUCGAAUACGAUCAAGAAGCCCCCAAGUGAGUUUGGCCUUGGUCCGAUCAAAAGGGUUAUGACAGCUAUGUUCUCUUUGGUUUGAAUACAACCUAUGUUUGAACAGGAAGCCCCCAAGUGACCUUGAUAUUUACAGCUAGAUUCAAAUACGAUCAUAAGCCGGACUAGAAAAGGUUAAACUUGAUUCAAAUAUGAUUAGCUCCUUAAUAGUCAUUUAUGAAAAAGUAAUAAAGAUGCAUAAUCUUUGAAAAGAAAAGAGACCGAUGGUCUUACUUUAUUGCUUCUCAUCAUAUAUACAGGAUGAACGUAUGUACAGGAUGAGAGCCGGUGGCUCAGGUAUAGUACGGCCGAAGUUGAGCAAUGUUCCACGGCCGGCGGGUCUCCUCUUCCGACUUACGUGAGUCUGCUUGCUCUUGAACGUCAAUGAGGUAGUAAGACCCGUUGUUUAAAUUUUUACUGACCACAAAGGGUCCUUCCCAAGGUGGGGAUAACUUGUGUGCAUCUAAAAGAUCUUGGAUGAGCCGGAGCACCAAGUCGCCUUCUUGAAAAGUCCUGGACUUAACCCGACGGCUGUGAUAAUGACGCAGGUCCUGUUGAUAGAUUGCUGACCGUGCUGCUGCUAAGUCUCUUUCUUCAUCCAAUAAGUCAAGCGCAUCCUGUCUGGCUUUUUCAUUGUUAGCUUCAACAUAAGCCGCCACGCGGGGCGAGUCAUGACGAAUGUCACUGGGCAAUACUGCUUCUGCUCCAUAAAUCAUGAAAAAGGGUGUGUAACCUGUAGACCUGUUGGGUGUAGUAUUGAUGCUCCAUAACACUGAAGGCAACUCCUCUACCCAACAACCCGGCGUUCGCUAUAAAGGAACCAUAAGCCGGGGGUUUAGCCCUUUCAGAAUUUCCUGAUUGGCUCUCUCAGCUUGACCACUGGAUUGAGGAUGAGCUACAUAAGAAACAUCAAGCCGGAUGUGCUCUCGCUGACAAAACUCUUCCAUAGCCCCUUGGGAUAGAUUGGUGCCAUUGUCUGUGAUAAUACUGUGUGGAAAACCAAAACGGAAGGUUAUUUUCUUCACAAACUGAACCGCCGUGGCUGCAUCACACUUACUCACAGGCUCUGCCUCAACCCAUUUAGUGAACUUAUCAAUAGCCACCAAGAGAUGUGUCUUCUUGUCCAUAGACCUUUUGAAAGGUCCCACCAUGUCAAGCCCCCAGACUGCAAAUGGCCAAGUGAUUGGAAUCAUCCGGAGCUCUUGAGCCGGUACAUGCGCUCGCCGUGCAAAUUUCUGACAUCCAUCACAUCUACUGACCAGAUCUUUUGCAUCAGCGUGAGCCGUCAACCAGUAAAACCCGUGACGAAACGCCUUGGCCACUAAAGAUUUUGACCCGGCGUGAUGACCACAAUCGCCUUCAUGGAUCUCACGAAGGAUUUCUUGAUCUUCUUCGGGAGAAACACACCGUUGAAAUGCUCCUGAAACACUGCGAUGAAAUAACUCUCCAUCCGAAAUCGUCAUGGACUUAGACUGCCGGGUUAUCUGUCGAGCCAGAGUCUCAUCUGCUGGCAAUUCUCCCCGGGUCAUGUAAGCCAAGAACGGCACCGUCCAAUCUGGGAUGACAUGAAGAGCCGCCACCAACUGCGCCUCUGGGUCAGGAACAGCUAAAUCUUCUUCUGUGGGCAACUUGACAGAGGGGUUAUGCAAAACAUCUAAAAAGGUGUUGGGUGGUACUGGCUUACAUUGAGACCCCAGCCGGCUCAAAGCAUCAGCUGCUUCGUUCUUUCGACGGUCAAUCUGUUCCACCUGAUAUCCUUUAAAAUACCCUGCAACAGCAUCGACCUCUUGGCGAUAAGCCGCCAUGAGAGGGUCUUUGGAAUCCCACUUGCCAGACACCUGCUGAGCCACUAACUCUGAAUCACCAAGACAUCUGACCCGGCUCAAGCUCAUCUCCUUUGCCACUCGAAGACCAUGGAGCAAUGCUUCAUACUCUGCUGCGUUGUUAGUGCACGGAAACAUCAAUCGUAACACAUAACAAAAUUUAUCACCUCAUGGGGAAGUUAAAACAACUCCAGCCCCCGAGCCCUCCAAUUGCCUGGACCCAUCAAAAUGAAUAGUCUAAUACAUGUUGCCCGGAUUUUCUUCUGGCAUCUGCAUCUCUGUCCAGUCAUUGAUGAAGUCAACCAGGGCUUAAGACUUAAUCGCAGUGCGUGGAACAUACUUCAGCCCAUGAGACCCAAGCUCAAUUGCCCACUUGGAAACUCGCCCUGUAGAUUCUCUGUUUUGAAUAAUGUCUCCCAAAGGAGCAGAGCUAACCACAGUGAUUGGAUGUCCCUGAAAGUAAUGCUUAAGCUUCCGGCUUUCCAUGAACACCCCAUAAACAAGCUUCUGCCAAUGUGGAUAUCGUUGCUUAGACUCAAUUAGCACUUCACUGACAAAAUAAACCGGCCGCUGAACCGGAUUCUCCUUGCCCGCCUCCUUGCGCUCUACCACAAUAGCCACACUAACAGCCCGUGAGUUGGCAGCUACGUAUAAUAAUAGUGGCUCUUUCUCAAUUGGAGCAGCUAGGACCGGCGGCUCAACCAAUUGCGCCUUCAGAUCCUCAAAAGCGGCGUUCGCAGCAUCGCUCCAAACAAACACAUUUGUUUUCUUCAUCAACUGAUACAGAGGCAUAGCCUUUUCUCCUAACCGGCUUAUGAACCGGCUCAAAGCAGCCACACGACCCGCCAGUCAUUGAACAUCAUUGAUGCAAGUUGGUUUAGCCAGGGAUGUAAUCGCCUUGAUCUUCUCCGGGUUAGCUUCAAUACCUCGGUUGGACACCAGAAAACCCAAAAGUUUGCCGGCUGGCACUCCAAAAACACACUUGGCCGGGUUAAGCAUCAUCUUGUAAACCCGAAGAUUAUCAAAGGUCUCUUUCAAGUCUGUGACCAAGGUUUCCUCUUCCCUAGACUUUACUACUAUAUCAUCCACAUAGGCAUGAAUAUUGCGCCCAAUUUGAUCAUGAAGACAAUUCUGCACACACCGUUGUUAAGUCGCCUGAGCACUCUUGAGCCCAAAACGCAUAGACACAUAGCAGAAAGCCCCAAAAGGAGUUAUAAAUGUCGUCUUCUCUUGAUCCUUGACUGCCAUCUUAAUCUGAUGAUACCCGGAGUAAGCAUCUAAGAAACUCAACCGUGCGCAACCCGCCGUAGCAUCAAUGAUCUGAUCAAUACGGGGAAGAGCAAAAGGAUCAGCCGGACAGGCCUUGUUUAAAUCUGUGUAAUCCACACACAUACGACAGGUGCCAUUCUUUUUUAGCACGAGCACCGGGUUAGCUAACCAUUAUGGGUGAAAGACCUCCACAAUGAACCCGGCCGCCAAGAGCCGGUCCACCUCUUCUCCAAUGGCCUUGUGCCUUUCUUCAUUGAACCGCCGAAGAAACUGUCUGACAGGUUUGAACUUUGGAUUGAUAUUAAGAGUGUGCUCAGCGAGUUCCCUCGGGACACCCGGCAUGUCUGAAGGUUUCCAUGCAAAGAUGUCCCGGUUCUCACGGAUGAACUCGAUGAGAGCACUUUCCUAUUUCAGAUCCAAGUUUGCGCUGAUGAUGAACUGUUUGGAUGAAUCGCCUGGCACAAAGUCAACCAUCUUAGUGUCAUCAGCUGAUUUGAACUUCAACUCCGGCUCGUGCUCUGUGGUUGGUUUCUUUAAUGACAUCAUGUCUGCCGUGUCAACAUGAUCUUUAUAGAAUUUCAACUCCUCUGUAGCACAAACAGAUUCAGCAUACGCAGCAUCCCCUUCUUCACAUUCCAAGGCUAUCUUUCGGCUCCCAUGGACUGUAAUGGUGCCCUUGUGACCCGGCAUCUUGAGCUGGAAAUAUACGUAACACGGUCGAUCCAUGAACUCGGCAUAAGCCAGCCGCCCAAACAGAGCAUGAUAUGGGCUCUUAAUUUUAACCACCUCAAAGGUUAAUUUUUCUGCUCUAGAGUCAUACUCAUCUCCAUAAGCUACUUCCAGCUCGAUCUUACCAACUGGAUAUGCCGACUUACCAGGCACCACACCAUGAAAAACAGUGUUGGAUUGUUUAAGAUUUUUAUCCGUCAAUCCCAUACGGCGAAACGUCUCAUAGUAAAGGAUGUUGAUGCUGCUACCUCCAUCCAUGAGUACCUUAGUAAAUUUGUAUCCACCAACCUAAGGUGCCACUACUAAUGACAAGUGACCCGGAUUAUCAACCCGGGGCGGGUGGUCCUCUCUACUCCAUACAAUGGGCUGCUCUGACCAACGAAAGUAACGUGGAAUUGCCGGCUCAACAGCAUUAACGGCCCUCUUGUGGAGCUUCUGGUCUCUUUUACACAAACUGGUAGUAAAGACAUGAUACUAUCCGCUACUCAAGUGCUUCGGGUUGCUCUGAUAGCCGGAUUGCUGCUGCUGUUGAUUCCCUUGGCCAUGUUGCUGAUUAUAUCCCCCCUGGUGACCAGGAUGACCAUGAAAACCUCCUCUGCUUGAACCGGCGCCCGGGCCCUGAAAGCCGCCUGAGCCGCCACCCGGACCGUGACCCCCAUCAAACGCGUUUGAAUUUUUAAAUGCCUUCAUGAUCGUACAAUCAUUCCAUAAGUGGGUAGCUGGCUUCUCCCUGGUGCCGUGUCUGGGACAAGGUUCAUUCAACAGCUACUCAAGGGUGGGGCCUGACCCGCCCGAUCGAGGGGGCUGUCUGCCCUUGCGCCGCUGAUUACCACCAUGUGCAUUAGUAUUAGCAACAAACUCAUCAGCCUUACGCUUAUUACCUCCUUGAUUUGCCGGGUUAUGCUGGUGACCCUUGCCACUGUCGUUCUUCUUUCCCUUUGUUGCCUUUUCUUCAUCAGACGCCGGGUCUUUAGUGAUAUUAGAAUCGGCAUACUUGACAAGAGCCGCCAUCAACGUUCACAUGUCAUUACAGUCUCGUUUAAGCCGCCCCAACUUCUGUUUCAGAGGCUCAAACGGUAAUUCUUCUCCAACAUCAAAACUGCUGAGUCGGCGUCCAUUUUGUCAGACGAAUGUAUUAUCUCCUUGACCCGGCGCACCCAAUGAGUCGUAGAUUCUCCAUCUUCUUGCUUGCAAUUGGUCAGGUCCACAAUUGACAUUGGCUAUUUACACGUGUCCUUAAAGUUCUAGAUGAACCGUGCCUUUAACUCUACCCAUGAGCCGAUGGAAUUGGGUGGCAAUCCUUUCAGCCAGGUCAGAGCCAUUCCAUCCAACAUCAUGGUAAAGUACUUGGCCAUUGCAGCAUCACUAACUUCCAACAUCUCCAUAGCCAUCUCAUAACUCUCAAUCCAAGCCCCCGGCUGUAAGUCAGCCAUGUAGUUAGGUACCUUACGAGGUCCCUUGAAAUCCUUGGGCAAUCGUUCGUUGCGUAUGGCUGGGACCAGGCAAGGUACACCUCCGGUUCUUGUAACCACUCCUGCCUCAACCGACGUUGCUGGAUAAGCCGGAAAGGUUUGGUGAGCUGCCUGCUCUGCUGCUAUCUGAGCCGCCCGCUCCGCCUCUUGACGAAUCCUCUCCUGAUCCGCCAAGUUAAGGGCUCCAGCUCGCACCGGCUCAUGCCUAUAUGGCCGAUUGUGGCGUUGAGCAUUACUCGACAUCUCUGCAGACUCCAUAUGCCUACUGUAACUCAGGCUCUGGCUUGGGCGAGGAGUUGAAUGAAUCCUGCCUCGACUGUAGGAGUAUGCGUCCUGUUGGGCCAAAGCUGUCUGAAGCAGUUCUCUUACCCUCCGGGUCUCAAUUGCUGCUGGCGAGUCGCCUUCCAUUGGGAGAGCCGCCAAACGAGCCGAUGCUGCAAUGAGGUUCUCCAUGGGGUUGGAGAAGUGACCCGGGGGUGUUGAUAUAUAACGAGGAGGAGUUGUAUUCAUGCGCGGUGGCUCCAUGGUGCGUGGCUGAACUAGUGCUCCGGGCGUGUCGACCCGGUUUACCUCCGGCGGGUUGCUCCCUCCAGCUCCGGGUGUAUGGAACAGAUUCCUGGGAUCCAGUGUUAGAGGCAGAAACAACUGAGUUUUCUGACGCCUCCUCCUCGUGACUUCGUUUGAUGCAUUAAGAUCCACAAAGAGCCGGAAGGUUUCUGCUUGAAGCUGCUGAGCACGAGCAUCCAAAGCUGCUCGUUCUGCUGCCAUCCGGGUUUCCUCCGCAGCCAAAUUUUCCUUAGCCUGCACCAUCUCCUCCCGCACGCGUGCUACUUCCGCUUCAUGAUGGGCUUUAUCCACCGGCUCUACCACAACGGUUAAAAGAGUCGUCAGUUUAUCCAUGAGGUCCAUGAGAACCUGAGCCGAGGGGCGCGCGGGGUCUCCUGACCCGGCAGCUGCCGACCCGGUGGCGACCGCUUUCGCUGCGGUGGAGUUCUGUCCGGGCUACAUCCCUGCCAUGAAGACUCCGGCCCAAUUUGGCGGCUCAAGCGGGUCCGGAAUACUGCUGCCAUCGGAAUAGCCCCCGAGCAUGUCAUCUUGCAGUUGGUACAAUGAGUCCGUCUCACCCGUUGAAGAUGCAGUAUCAGAGCAGAUGGCCGUCUCCCCACCUUCCAUCGAUCCUUCGGAGUAUUCACUGCCAUGGACGCAGCCUACGAAGGCAUGCUUCAUGACAGAUUGAACACGGGCGGACCCGACACGCUGAGCCGUUUCGAUGAGGUCAGUGUAGACAUCCGGCUCAGGGCCUAACUCGCCGAUCCGGCCGAUGAAGACGUGGAUUCCGCCGAAGGGGACCUGGUACCCGUACUCGAUUGAGCCGGCCUCGGGGCCCCAGCCUUGUCGCCGAUGUAGAUCUUGCCGCGAUGACUCUUGGUCAUCCGGCCCACAGCGUAUCCCUUGAGCCCUUCGAAGUUUCCCUUCAAGAACUCAAAUCCACUGUGCGCUGGCCCCACGGUGGGCGCCAACUGUCGUGGAAUUUUCACAGAAGAUGUCCUAGAGCAAGGACUUAGUCGUAGGGCCAUCGCACUAGGAAGCUUAAAGGGGUUAAUCGGGACAAAGGACACGAGAGAGUUUUAUACUAGUUCGGCCCCUUACGAUGAAGGUAAAAGCCUACGUAUAGUUGGGUUUGGUAUUGCUGGGGUUUCGAUUACCAAGAGGCUUAACUCCCCGGCUUGGUUAUCGAAUUGUUGUUUCUUGCCCUAAACCGCCACCGGGUCGUCCCCUUAUAUACACGGGUUGACGUCUGGUGGCUUACAGAGUCCCGGCCGGCUCAUAAUCGUGUCCGGCUCGGUGACUUCCUCAACAUGCCUUUCUUUACAAGUCUUUCCGUUCCUAUAGCGGUUUACAAUAACGGGCUUUUAAGCCGGCCCAAGGCCUUUGGGCUUUCUACAUAUACUAAUAAACUAUCAUCUUGACUGUAUAUUGGGCUUCUUAUGUAACCCGCCAUUAAGGCUGACCCGGCCCCUCCUGGGCGGGUCUCAGCUGAUAAUAAUAUCCCCAACAGGUGUCGCAAGCUUACUCAAAACAGAAGGUGAAUUAAGUGCAGAGCUAGAUGGCAAUUCCUUACCUCCCCUCGUAGUUGAGGGAUAAAUCUUGGUUUUUGGAUCUCUCAAGUUCUUCAUAAUGAUAAGCAGAUAUAAAUCCCAAGUGACUCAAAGAAUAGAGCUAUGCUCCCCGACAACGGCGCCAGAAAAUAGUCUUGAUAACCCACAAGUAUAGGGGAUUGCAACAGUUUUCGAUGGUAGUAUUCAACCCAAAUUUAUUGAUUCGACACAAGGGGAGCCAAAGAAUAUUCUCAAGUAUUAGCAGCUGAGUUGUCAAUUCAACCACACAUGGAAACUUAAUAUCUGCAGCAAAGUGUUUAGUAGCAAAGUAAUAUGAUAGUAGUGGUAAUGAUAGCAAAAAAUAAUGGUAGCAAAAGUAGUGUUUUUGGUAUUUUGUAGUGAUGAUAGCAAUAGCAACGCAAAAGUAAAUAAGCGAAGAACAAUAUAUGAAAAGCGCGUAGGCAAUGGAUCGGUGAUAGAGAAUUAUGCCGAAUGCGGUUUAUCAUGUAACAUUCAUAACCUAGGGUGACACAAAACUAGCUCCAAUUCAUCAAUGUAAUGUAGGCAUGUAUUCCGAAUAUAGUCAUACGUGCUUAUGGAAAAGAACUUGCAUGACAUCUUUUGUCCUACCCUUUCGUGGCAGCGGGGUCCUAAUCUUAUCUUAUAUAUAUAUUUACUAAUUGGAGGCACCAUUGGAUUUACCACGUUAAUCCUAGAAAACCAUGUAAAAAUAUCCUUAGGAUCUCAAUUCUACGGUUAGGAUCAAAUAAUAGAUCAAAUAGUCCUUCCUGGAAAAAAAAACAGAUCAAGGAGUCAUACCUUUCCACGUUGGAGAUAUAUCUUUCUAAGUUUGGUCUUCUUCACGUAUUGCUACAUCCUUAGGAUCUCAAUUUUAUGGUUAGGAUCAAAUAUGAGAUCAAUAACUUACUAUCUUUACACGUUAACAGAUCAAAGAGUUAUAUCUUUCCAUGUUUGGACUCCUACAUGCAUCGCUAUAUCCUUAGGAUCUCAAUUCUAUGGUUAGGAUCAAAUAACAGAUCAAAAAGUUAUAAGAUCGAUCGAUCUCUGAUUCUGCAUUGUCGAUCCAUAGUUCAUCCUAGAAGUUUUACAACUACGAUCGUCCGAUAAAUUGUAGGAAAAAUCGAGAUAGCUAUAAUCUUCUCGGCUCAGAUUUUUCCAUCGAAAACAGUCCUUCCUUCUCCCGAGGUUCCAUCCUCAAGCACUUAUACUCCCGCAACAAGAAUAUUUUUCUUUCUCACGCAUCUCCUCCAUCGUGCCAGCGGUUUGAUCUAGUAGCCCUCAGAUUUUCCUUAUGGAGAAGCAAACUUUCCUCCUCACGAGGUCCCUGCUCAAGCCCAUCUCCUCUGGCAGCAGGCACGUUUACCCCUUUUCUUCCGCAUCUCCUCCAUUGAGCCUGCUGUUUAAACAAGUAGCCACCGUUCUCUUAUCUUCCCUCACUGCCCGCCAGCUGCGGUCUGUGCCACCUUGACUUCAUGAUUAAACCUGAAUGACAUCUUUGCCUGUCCAUGUUUGUUUUCCUAUAAAGAUAGAAAUCUAACGUGCUUUCUCACGCGACUCCCUGUGUGAUCACUCUCUCCUAUGUUCUAGGGUUUGUAAUUUUCAUUAUGUACCGCCAACAUCAUCGUGGCAAAUGGAACUUGGUAGGCAACCACAGUGCUGGUGGGUGGCUGCGUAAUGUAUGCUGGGUACAGAACUGUGUACUUCCAAUUGCAUAUUAGCGGCCAGCGUUUAGUAGGUAAGCAUAUUAGUGGCGAGCGUUUUGAUUUGGAGUACGGAACGGUGGAUGCAUUAGCAUAAUCGCUGAGGUACUUAUUACUACAGCACCCAUUCAUAUGCACGUACAGUUUAUUUUUUUGGAGGAGCACGUAGAGACUUUUGCUUCAUUAAUUCGUAGCUUUUGGUUGUCGCCUCCAUCUAUAAUCAGUCCGCUGUUGCGCGCAGAAGUCUUAUACUUCCCCUUCCACCCGAAAUCUCAUAUUAAUAUCCCCCUUUUGUUUCGCUUUUACUGUCAAUAAAAAGGUGGAAGCUGACCUAAAUUCCUCAUGAUUAUUUUGAUCACAAUUGAUCAGUACGAUUCCAGCAGGAAUUGCAUGGAUAUCUUAGUUUGGAUGCAACAAAAAAAAUACAGCUCUUCGAAUGUAUAUCUGAUGCUAUGGCUUUGCUACAUCGAGCUAUAGUUCGAAUUUAGUGAUCUUUGGAUUUUGAUUAUGUGUUCAUAAUUUUGUACGACUACCUGAAUUAGAAGUAUUUUUCUCAUUAUUUGGCUAUUGCAUCUAUUUUCUCUACCGAUUCUACACCACCAGUUCCGACGAUGAUCUUCACAUAUCCUAUAAUAUAACUUCCCACACAGGUUAAUCUUACAAAGAAAAGAAGUCGUAGAAAUUUUGGAGUGAAGGUUACAUGUAAGAUGAAUAUGCGUGUGACUACAUCUAUCUAUCUUCAUUUAUCACAUACAUAUUACGCAGUGUCCUGGGUCACUAAAUUUAAUUAUCUUCUCAACGUGGUCGGCAUUUUCAAUUUAUUAAUCGGACAUAGUAUCGAUUGUUCGAUGUGCUUCAUAAAAAAUCAAAUUGCGAGUGUAAUAUAACACAUACUUCAUCAGUUUGGAGCUUAACAUUACACGUCAUUAUCGCUGCCUCUUCUGCCUUCCAUUUCUUCUUACUUUCCUGUUGUAUUGCUUAAUAGAUGGCCAUGGAGAUCUUUCCUCAGUUUGACAAUGAAGCCAGAAGUCCGAUUUGUAUAUGAUAAUUCAUGAUGUACACAUUGCAAUAUACAUACAAAAUUUAUUGGUUUAUUUUUUCAAAUGACAAAGUAAACCAGUUAACGGAAUUUUAUAUUUGUAUACUACAUAUUAGUUCUUCAUCUGCCAUUAAGAUUUUGAUUAGAAUGUUUCAAACAUGGCACUUGAUGGGAAUAUCAUUAGGAUGAAGAUAGAUUAAUGUUAUAAUCCACUUACAAAUUUGUCCAGUUCUGUAACCGACAAGAUAGAUAUGUUUGAUUUACUUAUAGGUAAUUCUUUAUACACACUUUGAUUCCACAUCAACGAUGUCUUUACAAAUUAGCACAUAGGCAUCUAUGUAAUGCCGUGGAUCCAUUGUAAUUGAUGCAAUUUUUUGUUGAAAUCUUCUAUCUUAUUUGUUCUAUAUCAGGAAAUAUAACCAAUUUCAGCCAUUGUUUUGCAAACCUGAAAUAUGUGAACUUCGAAGUUUCUCUUUUAUAAUGUGCUUUGAUGCAAUGAUCUUACAUUACGAUUUCAAUCGUGGUUACGUGAUGAUGGUAUAGUUUUUAUUUUCGAUGCAUGUGUUCGAUCCUAGAGGAGUGACCUUGGGCCAUCUUUUGCUAUGGAAACAAAAGAUAUCUUCACACUUGACGGCAAGGCAAUGGCAUUUCCUCCCAUGAAGAAGGUCUAGAAAGCUACAACUUUCUGAACACCGGAUUGUUCUUGAAGAGAUGAAAUAAUCACUUGGCUUGGUUUCAUGGAACCAACAUGACUAAAUUUGAUACUUCUACUUCUACUUAAUGUGGGAUAGUUAUAAUUUCUUUUCGGUAUGUGCCAUUGUACGUAGUCAUUUCACUUGAAGCAUUUUAGUGUUGGUUAAAGUUGGAUGGUUGCAAUGAUGUAGAAUGAAGAUUAAUUGCAGCUACAUAUUAUGAAAUAAAACUUAAUUCAUUUGUUUCAUUGUUCAACAUAUUUCUUUAUUAUUGUACUAUUUAUAGAAGAAUAGAUAUGAUGUAUUGAAUACCAUUGUACCUUUUUAAUCAUGUGAUUCUCUAAAUUAUGACUGAUAUAAAUGUUAUAAAUCAAAAAAGGAAAAUAAAAUGUAAAUUAGUUCUAGCCCGUGCAGGUGCACGGGUUGUUGACUAGUGGAUACUAAGGGAUAUUAAGGCCUCCUUUUAAUUGAGUACCGGACCAAAGCAUUAACACAUAGUGAAUACAUGAACUCCUCAAACUACGGUCAUCACCGGGAGUGGUCCCGAUUAUUGUCACUUCGGAGUUGCCGGAUCAUAACACAUAGUAGGUGACUAUAGACUUGCAAGAUAGGAUCAAGAACUCACAUAUAUUCAUGAAAACAUAAUAGGUUCAGAUCUGAAAUCAUGGCACUCGGGCCCUAGUGUCAAGCAUUAAGCAUAGCAAAGUCAUAGCAACAUCAAUCUCAGAACAUAGUGGAUACUAGGGAUCAAACCCUAACAAAACUAACUCGAUUACAUGAUAAAUCUCAUCUAACCCAUCACCGUCCAGCAAGCCUACGAUGGAAUUACUCACGCACGGCGGUGAGCACCAUGAAAUUGGUGAUGGAGGAUGGUUGAUGAUGACGAUGGCGACGGAUUCCCCUCUCCGGAGCCCCGAACGGACUCCAGAUCAGCCCUCCCGAGAGGUUUUAGGGCUUGGCGGCGGCUCUGUAUCGUAAAACGCGAUGAAUCCUUCUCUCUUAUUUGUUCCCCCCGAAAGCAAAUAUAUAGAGUUGGAGUUGAGGUCGGAGGAGCUCCAGGGGGCCCACGAGGUAGGGGGCGCGUCCUGGGGGGGCAGACGCGCCCCCCACCCUCGUGGCUAGGGUGUGGGCCCCUGUUCUUCAUCUUUUGCAAGGAUUUUUUAUUAUUUCCAAAAAGAUGUUUCGUGAAGUUUCAGGUCAUUUCGAGAACUUCUGUUUCUGCACAUAAAUAACACCAUAGUAAUUCUGCUGAAAAUAACGUCAGUCCGGGUUAGUUUCAUUCAAAUCAUGCAAGUUAGAGUGCAAAACAAGGGCAAAAGUGUUUGGAAAAGUAGAUACGACGGAGACGUAUCAGUUUUCUUCAAGUUCAAGGAGUUGACUACGAUGAGACCUUCUCACUCGUAGCGAUGCUUAAGUCCGUCCGAAUCAUGUUAGCAAUUGCCGCAAUUUAUGAUUAUGAAAUUUGGCAAAUGGAUGUAAAGACUGCAUUCCUGAAUGGAUUUAUGGAAGAAGAGUUGUAUAUGAUGCAAUCUGAAGGUUUUAUCAAUCCAAAGGGUGCUAACAAAGUAUGCAAGCUCCAGCGAUCCAUCUAUUGACUGGUACAAGCAUCUCGGAGUUGGAAUAAACGUUUUGAUAGUGUGAUCAAAGCAUAUGGUUUUAUACAGACUUUUGGAGAAGCCUGUAUUUAUAAGAAAGUGAGUGGGAGCUCUGUAGCAUUUCUAAUAUUAUAUGUGGAUGACAUAUUGCUGAUUGGAAAUUAUAUAGAAUUUCUGGAUAGCAUAAAAGGAUACUUGAAUAAGAGUUUUUCAAUGGAAGACCUCGGUGAAGUUUCUUAUAUAUUGGGCAUCAAAAUCUAUAGAGAUAGAUCAAGAAACAUAAUUGGACUUUCACAAAGCACAUACCUUGAUAAAGUUUUGAAGAAGUUCAAAAUGGAUCAAGCAAAGAAAGGGUUCUUGCCUGUGUUACAAGGUGUGAAGUUGAGUCAGACUCAAUGCCCGACCACUGCAGAAGAUAGAGAGAAAAUGAAAGAUGUUCCCUAUACUUCAGCCAUAGGCUCUAUCAUGUAUGCAAUGUUGUGUACCAGACCUGAUGUGUGCCUUGCUAUUAGUUUAGCGGGGUGGUACCAAAGUAAUCCAGGAGUGGAUCACUACACAGCGGUCAAGAACAUCCUGAUAUACCUGAAAAGGACUAAGGAUAUGUUUCUCGUUCAUGGAGGUGACAAAGAGCUCAUCAUAAAUGGUUACGUCGAUGCAAGCGUUGACACUGAUCCAGAUGACUCUAAGUCACAAACCGGACACGUAUUUUUAUUGAACGGUGGAGCUGUCAGUUGAUGCAGUUCUAAGCAAAGCGUCAUGGCGGGAUCUAUUUGUGAAGUGGAGUACAUAGCUGCUUCAGUAGCAGCAAAUGAAGGAGUCUGGAUGAAGGAGUUCAUAUCUGACCUAGGUGUCAUACCUAGUGCGUCGGGUCUAAUGAAAAUCUUUUGUGACAAUACUGGUGCAAUUGCCUUGGCAAAGGAAUCCAGAUUUCACAAAAGAACCAAGCACAUCAAGAGACACUUCAAUUCCAUCCGCGGUCAAGUCAAGGAAGGAGACAUAGAGAUUUGCAAGAUACAUACGGAUCUGAAUGUUGCAGACCCGUUGACUAAGCCUCUCCCACGAGCAAAAGAUGAUCAGCACCAAGACUCCAUGGGUGUUGGAAUCAUUACUGUGUAAUCUAGAUUAUUAACUCUAGUGCAAGUGGGAGAGUGAAGGAAAUAUUCCCUAGAGGCAAUAAUAAAGUUGUUAUUUAUAUUUCCUUAUAUCAUGAUAAAUGUUUAUUAUUCAUGCUAGAAUUGUAUUAACCGGAAACUUAGUACAUGUGUGAAUACAUAGACAAACAGAGAGUCACUAGUUUGCCUCUACUUGACUAUCUCAUUGAAUCAAUGAUGGUUAUGUUUCCUAACCAUAGACAUGAGUUGUCAUUUGAUUAACGGGAUUACAUCAUUAGAUAAUGAUGUGACUGACUUGACCCAUUCCAUUAUCUUAGCAUGAUGAUCGUUUAGUUUGCUACUAUUGCUUUCUUCAUGACUUAUACAUGUUACUAUGACUAUGAGAUUAUGCAACUCCCGAGUACAUGAGGAACACUUUGUGUGCUACCAAACAUCACAACAUAACUGGGUGAUUAUAAAGGUGCUCUACAGGUGUCUCCGAUGGUACUUGUUGAGUUGGCAUAGAUCGAGAUUAGGAUUUGUCACUCCGAUUGUUGGAGAGGUAUCUCUGGGCCCUCUCGGUAAUGCACAUCACUAUAAGCCUUGCAAGCAUUUUGACUAAUGAGUUAGUUGCGGGAUGAUGUAUUAUGGAACGAGUAAAGAGACUUGCCCGUAACAAGAUUGAACUAGGUAUGAGGAUAUCGACGAUCGAAUCUCGGGCAAGUAACAUACCGAUGACAAAGGGAACAACGUAUGUUGUUAUGCGGUUUGACCGAUAAAGAUCUUCAUAGAAUAUGUAGGAACCAAUAUGAGCAUCCAGGUUCCGCUAUUGGUUAUUGACCGGAGACGAGUCUCGGUCAUGUCUACAUAGUUCUCGAACCCGUAGGGUCCGCAUGCUUAAAGUUCAGUGACGAUCGGUAUUAUGAGUUUAUGUGUUUUGAUGUACCGAAGGUAGUUCGGAGUCCGGAUGUGAUCGCGGACAUGAUGAUGAGUCUCGAAAUGGUCGAGACGUAAAGAUUGAUAUAUUGGACGGCUAUAUUCGGACACCGGAAGUGUUCCGGAUGGUUUCGAAGAAAACCGGAGUGCCUAAUUGGUUAGCGGAACCCCCUCUCCCCCCCCCGGGGGGGGAGUAUUGGGCCUUAGUGGGCCUGAGGGGAGAGAGAGGGCUGCAGCCCAGGAGGUGGCGCGCCCCCUCCCAUGAGUCCGAAUUGGACUAGGGGAGGGGGGCGCGGCCCCUCUUUCCCUCUCCCUCUCCCUCUCCCUCUCUUUCCUUCCCCCUUUCCCCCUUCCUAGUAGGACUAGGAAAGGAUCAAUCCUACUCCUACUAGGAGGAGGAUUCCUCCUCUCCUUGGGGCGCACCAAGGCCAGCCGGCCUCCCCCCUUGCUCCUUUAUAUACGGGGCCGGGGGGGCACCCAAAGACACACAAGUUGAUUGUUCCAAGCCGUGUGCGGUGCCCCCCUCCACCAUAAUCCACCUCGAUCAUAUCAUAGUGGUGCUUAGGCGAAGCCCUGCGUCGGUAGCAACAUCAUCACCGUCAUCACACCAUCGUGCUAACGAAAGUCUCCCGCGAAGCUCUGCUGGAUCAGAGUUCAUGGGACGUCAUCGAGCUGAACGUGUGCUGAACUCGGAGGUGUCGUACGUUCGGUACUUGCAUCAGUCGGAUUGUGAAGACGUACGACUACAUCAACCGUGUUCUCAUAACGUUUCCGCUUACGGUCUACGAGGGUACGUGGACGAUACUCUCCCCUCUCAUUGCUAUGCAUCACCAUAAUCUUGCGUGUGCGUAGGAAUUUUUUUGAAAUUACUACGUUCCUCAACACCAGCAUACUACUCACUCCAUUCCUAAAUAUUUGUAUUUUUAGAGAUUUCAAAUGUACUACCAUAUACUGAUGUAUAUAUACAUACUUUAACGUGUAGAUUCACUCAUUUUGCUUCGUAUGUAGUCACUUGUUGAAAUAUCUAAAAAGACAAAUAUUUAGGAACGGAGUACUAGUUAAUAGGCGUAGGAGACAUCAGGAUUUAGGUUAACUAAAGAGGGUCAGAGGGUGCCCUCAAGGAUCCAAAUUUGCAUGUGUAUGGAUACUGAGAGGCUUGGUGGGAUUCCUAAAAAUUUUGUAUGCGCUGUGAGGGACAGUUCGCUUCUUUUACUGUUUUCGUAUUGGUUCAGGGACCGGACAUUAGGCCCUAUAGGGUGCUACAUUAAUAGAAGAAUAUUUUGUUACUAGUAACAUAAUAUAGUCCUAUACUCUUUAUAUAUUUUCAUGUUAUUUUUUCAUAGUUUUGUUUCAGUUGCAUAUGAAUUUGUACCUGCUUUUUAAAUAUGAAGAGCAUGCAAGAUAAGAUGAUGUAUCUUAGAGAAAAGUCCAUGUCACAACCCUUAACUUGCCACUCGAUUUAUCUAGUUAUUUGAUGAGUCAAAUCUGGUUAUCCAUCUUAGAAUCAUACUAGGCAAAAAAUACAAAGUUUGUUUAGUGAAAAUAAUGUCUAGAACAAUCUUCUCAUUUAUAGUGUGAUCUAUCAUAUAUUGACACACACAAGCUUACAUACUUAGCCCCACUCAAUCUAUGCAUAUCUGGAUAUGCCUAAUAUCAUGUGGAGCAUCACAAACUUAAUUCCAAAAGGAGGCAAAAUCUAGAUCAAUGUGUGUAGUGUAAAGUGAAAAAAAUGAGUCAUAGGUCGUUAUCAAGUAUGCCUUACAACUAAAUGAUAUGUGUAACAAAAAGCAACUAUCAUGAAUAAUCUAAAAUCACACAAGUAAAGUUGCCCCACCAACCACAACAUACCAAACGCUUAGUUGGAUAACCUUAUGAGCACUUUUCAGAAAGCAAGUGGAAAGAUGAAUGAAAUCAUACCAUGACAGCUAUAAAUACACCUUCAUCAUCAUAGCCACCUUUCAUCAUCCAAACUUCACGCACCAAGAUCAAAAACAUCUAUUCCAAGCAAGUAUUAGUAAUCAUAAACCCAACAUGAAGACCUUCCUCAUCUUCGUCCUCCUUGCCAUGGCGAUGAGCAUCGUCACUGCUGCUAGGCAGCUAAACCCUAGCAAGCAAGAGUUGCAAUCACCACAACAAUUAUAUCCGCAGCAACCAUAUCCACAGCAACCAUAUCCACCACAACAACCAUUUCCCACACCCCAACAAUAUUUCCCCCAUCAAUCACAACAACCAUUUUCCCCACCACAACAAUCAUUUCCCCAACCCCAACAAGCAACCCCCCUACAACCACAACAACCAUUCCCCCAGCAACCCCAACAACCACAACAAGCUUUUCCCCAACCCCAACAACAAUUUGCCUUGCAACCACAACAACAAUUUCCCCAGCUCCAACAACCACAACAAUCAUUCCCACAACAACCCCAGAGACCACACCCAUUCCCCCAACAACUAGAACAAGUAAUUUCACAGCAACCACAACAACCAUUCCUCCUGCAACCGCAACAACCAUUCCCCCAGCAANNNNNNNNNNNNNNNNNNNNNNNNNNNNNNNNNNNNNNNNNNNNNNNNNNNNNNNNNNNNNNNNNNNNNNNNNNNNNNNNNNNNNNNNNNNNNNNNNNNNNNNNNNNNNNNNNNNNNNNNNNNNNNNNNNNNNNNNNNNNNNNNNNNNNNNNNNNNNNNNNNNNNNNNNNNNNNNNNNNNNNNNNNNNNNNNNNNNNNNNNNNNNNNNNNNNNNNNNNNNNNNNNNNNNNNNNNNNNNNNNNNNNNNNNNNNNNNNNNNNNNNNNNNNNNNNNNNNNNNNNNNNNNNNNNNNNNNNNNNNNNNNNNNNNNNNNNNNNNNNNNNNNNNNNNNNNNNNNNNNNNNNNNNNNNNNNNNNNNNNNNNNNNNNNNNNNNNNNNNUAAAUCCCCAGCAACCCCAACAACCAUUUUCCCAGUCACGACAACCAUUUCCCCAGCAACCCCAACAACCAUUCCCACUGCAACCGCAACAACCAUUUCCCCAGCAAUCAGCACAAAUAAUUCCUCAGCAACCCCAACAACCAUUCCCUCUACAACCACAACAAUCAUUCCUUCGGCAAUCACAACAACCGUUCCUCCAACAACCACAACAACCAUCUCCCCAACCCCAACAAGUAGUACAAAUAAUUCCCCAGCAACCCCAACAACCAUUCCCUCUGCUGGCAAACCAACCUCAGCAACCUUAUCCACAACAGCAACCAUCAGGAGUAAUGGUAUAGGCAUCGGGGGCCAAGGAAAUGAAGAGCUAUAGUACUAGCCCGGCGGAUCAUCGUUGUUUAGUCAAUUGAGUGUUCAAUGUAACGAUGAUAAAUAAAGUGAUGUGUACCAUCAUGUGUAACCCCGACCUAUACUAGUUCAAACAUGAGAAUAAAAGACAAAGAAAGUUCUUGUCACAAGGACAUUGCUGGUAAUUAUUACAUUCAUGCCAUAUUUGGAUUUUCAUCCCAAAAUAUAAUUUGAGUCAUGUGCAUUAACUACCUAUUUAUGAAGUGAAGUCAUAUGAUCCUAACACAAUUAAUGAUUGUGAAACUUGGUUUAAUUGAAGUACUACCAAUUAAGGAGUAAUAAUUAAUUGCAUCUCUUUGGUGGCUAGCGAUGUGAAUUGUGUGACCUUAUUAUCUGAAAUGUUCUAGAUUGUACAUAGACACACUUUUUACAAUUGUUGAGG